rnacentral:lncRNA from 1 species
AUCUUCCGGAUGAUCUAAGUUUCUACCUCUUCUAUUUGGUAGACUCAAUUCUGAAAUAAAAAAUAAUGAGUCAAUAAAUACACAUAAAUCAAUCAAUUAUAUAAUAUACACAUCGAUUAUAAUUAGUUGGUUACCAUCAUUAUCUCUGAGGUCCGAGUCGGAGUCGGAAUUAGAUUCACCCAUUGUUGUUGGUACUUGAGUAGUUGGAGUACUCGAACCUUGAGGAGUUGGAAUUUGAUUUGAAGUUGGAGUACUCGAACCUUGAGGAGUUGGAGUUGGAAUUUGAGUUGGAGUUGGAGUUGAAGUUGGAUUCGAAAUUGGAGUUGGAAUUUGAGGAGUUGAAGUUGGAGUCGAAGUUGCAGUCGGAACAUGAGUACUUGAAGAAGGUUCUUCAUGGUCGACAGAACUUCGCGUAAGUCGUCGUUUUUUACUAACCAAUGUUUUUUUGGGUGUCAUUUAUAAUCUGUGAACACAACAAAAUAUUCAGCACUUAAAAUCAAUAAAAACAGAAAAAUAAAUAAAAUAAAAAAUUACUCACAAAUAAUAUAUAAGAAAUCCAUAAUUAGGCACUACAAAUCUCUAGGUGGCCUUUUCAAUACAACACUCCAAUCUAAUUUUUUAGGAUCAUCCACAUAGAAACAUUGUUGUGCUUGUGCUGCCAAGAUAAAUGGUUCGUCUUGGUGCUUUAAUCGUUUAGUGUUUAUAGAUAUAAUACCAAACGUAUCAACUUGUAUCCCAUUUGUAGAUUGACCAUCAAACCAAUUGCAAUGAAAGAGUGUUUCUACAUGAUUUGGUCCAUAUUGUAGUUCAAUAACAUAAUUUAAUCUUCCAUAAUAGUUUUGUUUAUUCACUAUUGGGUUUACAUCUCUAACACUUAAAUAACAUGAUGUCUCGGCCGACACUAAAAUCCCAUCAUUUUGAGUCUUUAGUUUCACCGAACUCGACGUAGAAAGAAACUUAAUACCAUUCAUUCUAUAUCCUUUGAAUUUUUUCAUAUCUAUAUUUGGACCACGUGAAAGUCGCCAAAUGCUAAAUUUUACUUUAGGACAUGUAUCUAUAUGAUCUUUGAACCAUCUUGGAAAUUUUUCAUGAUGCAUUCUUUCUAUAUGUUUGGGAUUCAUUCCCGGAUAACUGCGACGAAUCACAUCCACAUGAAAUUCUCUAAAACUAUUUAUUUCAUCUGUAUUGAAUAACACAUAUCGAUGUGCUUGCUCAAAUAUCUUAUCCCCAAGAUUAAUGUGUGUCGCUUUACCAAUAUACCCAUUACAAUUACGAUCGGGUAUAUUGGAUUUUGUUUCAACAUUUUCUGACAAAUAGCGAGAGCAAAAUGUUAAACAUUCUUCGGCAAUAUAUUGUUCAGCAAUACUCCCCUCAGGUUGGCUUUUAUUCCUAAAAUAACCUUUUAAUGUUUUCAAGUAUCUUUCAAUAGGAUACAUCCACUGAUAAUGCACUGGUCCUGCCAUUUUUGCCUCAGUUGCAAGGUGAACCGACAAAUGAAUCAUUACUGUGAAAAAAGAUGGUGGAAAUAUCUGUUCCAAUUUGCAUAACGUUAUUGAUAUGUUCUUUUCCAUUUGAUUUAAAUGAUCGAUAUUAAGAGUAUUGGAGCACAAAUCAUGGAAGUAGUUACAUAAUUCUACUAUCAAAGAACAAACAUCUUUGGAAUAUGAAUUUCUCAAUGCAAUAGGCAAUAAUUGUUGCAUUAGCAUGUGGCAAUCAUGACUUUUAAGUUGCAUAAACUUCUUGUCUUUUGAAUUCACAUUUCUUGAAAUAUUUGAAGAAUAUCCAUCUGGAACCCUAAUUGACUUCAAUAUUGUGCAAAAUAAUUUUCUUUGAUCUAAGGUCAUAGAAAACAGCGCAAAGGGGAUGUGCCACUUUCCAUUAUCUUUUUUGUAUGCAUGAAGGUUUCUGCGAAUUCCUUGAUGUUUAAGAUCUUCUCUCGCUUUCCAAUUAUCCUUGGAUUUGUUCACUACAUUAAGCAUCGUAUUAACUACGUUGUCACAGAUAUUUUUCUCGAUGUGCAUUACAUCAAGAUUAUGUCGAAUCAAAAGUGAUUUCCAAUAGGGUAAAGAAAAGAAUAUACUUUUCUUCUUCCAUCCUUCUGCAAAUGUAACUGGUGUACCGAAGUUUCCUUUUCCUAAUGCUUUCUUUGGAAGUUCGUUCAACUGAAAUUUGAUUAUACUUCAACAAAUCAAUUCUUGAAUAUACUUUGAAAGUAAAACUAAUUAUAUUUUUGAAAGUAUAUAAUUUUACCUCUUUUAGUAUGUCCUCACCGGAUCUAAUUGAAGGUGCUGUAUCCAAUUCGAUUUUAUUAUUGAACUUUGAUUUUUCUUUUCUAUAUGGAUGUGAAGGAUCCAGAAAACGACGAUGUCCCAUAAAACAUGUCUUUUGACUCCCUUUCAAAUAUAAACUACAUUAUUGUUCAAACAUACACCACAUGCCACUUUUCCUUUGGUACUCCAUCCAGAUAAGUUNNNNNNNNNNNNNNNNNNNNNNNNNNNNNNNNNNNNNNNNNNNNNNNNNNNNNNNNNNNNNNNNNNNNNNNNNNNNNNNNNNNNNNNNNNNNNNNNNNNNNNNNNNNNNNNNNNNNNNNNNNNNNNNNNNNNNNNNNNNNNNNNNNNNNNNNNNNNNNNNNNNNNNNNNNNNNNNNNNNNNNNNAGAAUCAUAUUUGAUUGUUUCAUGCACAACCAUGGUGGCAUGUUGUAUGGGAUAAGAACAACUGGCCAUGUGCUAUGUGAUAAUGUCAUUGAACCAUAGGGAUUAAAUCCAUAUGAUGCCAACCCUAGUCUAACAUUUCGAGGUUCUAUAGCAAAUUCUGAAUUGAUACCAUUUAACACUCUCCAUUGUUCCGUAUCUGCUGGAUGACGAAGUACACCAUCUCUCAAACGAUGAUCUUCAUGCCAUGUCAUAUCAGUACAUACCUAGUUUGAAUAAAUUAAAAUAUUUUAGAAUGUGAUUGAUUGACGAGUAUUUGACACAUAAGAAAUCAACAACGUGUACAUACCUUACUACACAUAUACAAUCUCUUANNNNNNNNNNNNNNNNNNNNNNNNNNNNNNNNNNNNNNNNNNNNNNNNNNNNNNNNNNNNNNNNNNNNNNNNNNNNNNNNNNNNNNNNNNNNNNNNNNNNNNNNNNNNNNNNNNNNNNNNNNNNNNNNNNNNNNNNNNNNNNNNNNNNNNNNNNNNNNNNNNNNNNNNNNNNNNNNNNNNNNNNNNNNNNNNNNNNNNNNNNNNNNNNNNNNNNNNNNNNNNNNNNNNNNNNNNNNNNNNNNNNNNNNNNNNNNNNNNNNNNNNNNNNNNNNNNNNNNNNNNNNNNNNNNNNNNNNNNNNNNNNNNNNNNNNNNNNNNNNNNNNNNNNNNNNNNNNNNNNNNNNNNNNNNNNNNNNNNNNNNNNNNNNNNNNNNNNNNNNNNNNNNNNNNNNNNNNNNNNNNNNNNNNNNNNNNNNNNNNNNNNNNNNNNNNNNNNNNNNNNNNNNNNNNNNNNNNNNNNNNNNNNNNNNNNNNNNNNNNNNNNNNNNNNNNNNNNNNNNNNNNNNNNNNNNNNNNNNNNNNNNNNNNNNNNNNNNNNNNNNNNNNNNNNNNNNNNNNNNNNNNNNNNNNNNNNNNNNNNNNNNNNNNNNNNNNNNNNNNNNNNNNNNNNNNNNNNNNNNNNNNNNNNNNNNNNNNNNNNNNNNNNNNNNNNNNNNNNNNNNNNNNNNNNNNNNNNNNNNNNNNNNNNNNNNNNNNNNNNNNNNNNNNNNNNNNNNNNNNNNNNNNNNNNNNNNNNNNNNNNNNNNNNNNNNNNNNNNNNNNNNNNNNNNNNNNNNNNNNNNNNNNNNNNNNNNNNNNNNNNNNNNNNNNNNNNNNNNNNNNNNNNNNNNNNNNNNNNNNNNNNNNNNNNNNNNNNNNNNNNNNNNNNNNNNNNNNNNNNNNNNNNNNNNNNNNNNNNNNNNNNNNNNNNNNNNNNNNNNNNNNNNNNNNNNNNNNNNNNNNNNNNNNNNNNNNNNNNNNNNNNNNNNNNNNNNNNNNNNNNNNNNNNNNNNNNNNNNNNNNNNNNNNNNNNNNNNNNNNNNNNNNNNNNNNNNNNNNNNNNNNNNNNNNNNNNNNNNNNNNNNNNNNNNNNNNNNNNNNNNNNNNNNNNNNNNNNNNNNNNNNNNNNNNNNNNNNNNNNNNNNNNNNNNNNNNNNNNNNNNNNNNNNNNNNNNNNNNNNNNNNNNNNNNNNNNNNNNNNNNNNNNNNNNNNNNNNNNNNNNNNNNNNNNNNNNNNNNNNNNNNNNNNNNNNNNNNNNNNNNNNNNNNNNNNNNNNNNNNNNNNNNNNNNNNNNNNNNNNNNNNNNNNNNNNNNNNNNNNNNNNNNNNNNNNNNNNNNNNNNNNNNNNNNNNNNNNNNNNNNNNNNNNNNNNNNNNNNNNNNNNNNNNNNNNNNNNNNNNNNNNNNNNNNNNNNNNNNNNNNNNNNNNNNNNNNNNNNNNNUAGAAACUAAGAGUUUAUAAAUUUUAGGGAUCGAAAAUAGGAAGUAUUCCUAAUCCCCAUAUGAAACUGAUUCCAACAAUUCCUGGAAGGUUUCCUUCCUAUUAAUGAUGAAUCUUCAACCUCAUAUUCAAGGGUAAGAUGGCUGGGUCAGGGCAUUGAUAGGACUAAAAAUUCCUAUUUGUAAAUUAUAAACAUAUCAGGGCAUUUGUAAAAAUUCUUGAUGGGCAGCCCAAUUAAGUAACCCCGAACUCAAAAUUUGCAAGGUAUAUGCAAGUUCAGACUUUAUACCUUAAUAUUCCUUGAGAUACGUUAUAAUUUUUUGAUUACAAAUUACAAAUUUACAAUUAAUUGAUACUUUGCUUUAAACUUUUAACAGUCAUUGCUAUCUGAUUGGAAUAAGCUUUUUGAACUUUUAGAACAACAUCCAAAACUGUGAAUACAACAGAAAAAUUCUACUAGACAGUGGAAUCACUAGAACACCGACAUUCCAUUUGGAAGAUCUCCAACUCACUUGCACCAACCACCUUCCAUACUACAUAAAAGAUAUUCAGACAGACUGCAUAUUCAGAUAUUCAAGUCUUUAAUAAAAAAAGAAUCAUCCAUUAAGGUUAAUAGGGUAAUUAUUAUUAGUUAUUACCUAGAGCACAUUAUAAGUUAUUACCUAGACAGGAAGUAUCGAUAUUAAGCAAUUGAUAUCGAUAAUAACCUAGAGCACAUAAAUUAUGUUCUCAUUUAUCUUCAUUUCAAUUGGAGGGUAAAUAAUGACCAGCAUCGUCUCGAUUUCAAUUAGUGGGUAAAUCCCUUAGAGAUUUAUUCCAUGACCAGCAUCCCAGCUUAGAUUUAGUCGACAGAAAAAAAAGAAAAACAAAUGAAUCAAGAAUAGAAUAGAAUCAAGAACGGAAUAGGGAUGAUGCUCUUGAAUCAAGAAUAAAAUAAUCAAGAACAACUAUUAAGAAUAGAGUCAAGAACAAAAACAAAAACAGAUAUUGAAACUUCAAAUGGGUCUGUCGGAAAUGGGGAAUGGGUCUGACUGAAAUGGGGAAUCGGUCGGUCGGAAAUGAAGAAUGGGUCAGUUGGAAAUGGAGAAUGAGUAUGUCGGAAACUCACCUCAUUUGUCGUCGGAAGUUUCCUCUGGCUCGGCUGUUCUCGUCGGAAAUCUCGUCGGAUUACUACUCUUGCUCCCUCUGCUCGUCGGAUUUUAGUAUUUAGGUUUGGAAAAAUAUUUGGGGUUUUAGUAUUUAGGUUUUAAUUUUUUUAAUUUAAAAUAUCCAUUUAAACUUAGUUUAUAACUUAUCAAUUAAAGUUAGUUUAUUUGAUAUCAAAAAUAACUUUAAUUAAAAAUAACUUAGUUAAUUUUUAACUUUAAAAUUUAAAAUAUCAAAAAUAACUUUAAUUUAUUUUUUAAUUUAAAUAAACUUAUUUUAUAACUUUUAAAAUAUCUAAUUUAUUAAAUUGAAUUUUAGAAUUUAAAAAUUAAAAUUUAUUAAAUUAGACUAACCCUAACCUACUAAACUUAAUAUUAGAAAUUGAUAUUUUUUAUAAUUUUUAUAAAAUCACUAGUUGUUAAUUUAAAAUAACUUUUAUAAUUUAAAAUAACUUUUAUAAUACUUGAAUUUGUAACUUUAAAAAUUAAAAUACCUUCUUUAAAUUUAUUUUUUAACUUUAAAAUUUAGAAUAUCUAAAAUAACUUCAAUUUAUAAUUUUUAUAAUUUAAAUUUUUAUAAUUAUCUAAUUAUAAUCUAACUUUAAAUUUUUUAUAAUUUAUAAUAUCUAAAAAACUAUAAUCUAACUUCUUCUAACCCUAACUUCUAACUUCUAACUCUUACUUUUAACCCUAACUUCUAACCCUAACACUAUCUAAAUAUGUAUAUAUACUUAUUUCUACUAAUUUUUGUUAAUUUUUAUUAAUUUCUAUUAACCCUAACACUAACCUUAACCCUAACCCUAAUUAUUUACAUUUACUCUAACCCUAACCCUAAUUAUAUACAUUUACCCUAACCUUAAUUAUGAAAAUUAUUAAAUAAUUGCUAUUUGUAACGGAAUAUCCGUUAAAAAUAGUUAAAAAAUCCGUUACAAUAUAUAAGUCCUAGUAUUUGUAACGGAAAUAGCAAAGUUAACGGAAAUUCCGUUACAAAUUCCGUUAACUUUGAUAAUAAGUAUUUGUAACGGAAAUUCCGUUAAGUUUGCUUCGUCCGAACUGCCUACUUUUUUUUUGUAGUGGGAUGAAAACAUAUUUUUUGGUACCCAAACAUAUUUGGGUCCUAAGUGAUUAACAAAAAUGACUUUAAAGUGUUGUAACUUUUCUUUAGACAUCCAAACUUUUUUGACACUCAAUUUAUGAGAAAUACUUUGAUGUGUGGAUUCUCGCACGAAAAAUUUAUUAUACGUUACAGACGUACUUGGGGAAGGGGAUUCAUGACCAAAUCCUAAACCAGGCUUUCCUAGUCUGGUGUUGGAUUUUUUGAUCAUAUCAUCAAGCAUCUAUGAACUAUUAGUGAAUCUUGAGAUAUCUUGUUUUUAUUCACAUAUUCUCUCUUCUAAAUUUUUUAUAUGGGAUGCUUGUGAUUUAAUGUCUGUUACCAGAUCUUCCCUUUCAAGUAACAACCUUUUUUCUUUAUCUUUAUUUUCUAGAAUCAUUUUUUCAUGCAAAGUCAGUUCUUUAUUGAUAAUUCUAGGUUUGAUUUUAGAUCUAGAUUUGUGUUUGUUAAACUUUCUAUUUGAUCUGGAUGUGUGGAAGCGGGCUCUUCCACUUGUUCUGCCAAAUCUAUGAGAAUAAGGUUUUGUUCCUUAAGUAUUUUAAUUAUGCUUUCCUUUUUAUCUAGUUUACAGUUUAGUUUUUUGAUUUCUUCUAGAUGCAGAAUGGAAGGUUCUUCCAUAGAUUUAGCAUGAUCUGAAAGAAUUAGGUUUUGCUCCUUAAGUUGCUCCACAACUUUUUCCCUAGAGUUUAUUCUUUUUGUUAAGGUAGCAUUUUCAAUCUUAAGUCUUUCUAAAUCAUGAAUAUUGAAUUGAACUAGUUUUCUUUCUGUUUUAUAUUUAGUUACUACACUAAAAAAAGUAGGCAGUUAGGACGAGCAAAGUUAACGGAAUUUCCGUUACAAAUACUAUUUUUAACGGAAAUUCCGUUAACUUUGGUCCGAGACAAAAUUUCCGUUAUAAAUACCAAAAUCCGUUACAAAAAUCCGUUACAAAUACUCUGAAGUUAAAGUUAACGGAACGAAAAAUCCGUUAUAAAAUUUUUAAGUAUUUGUAACGGAAAUUCCGUUACAAAUGAGAAAAAUUCCGUUACAAAUUUUUUUUUUUGCAAAAAAAAAUUCCAGAAUUCCAGUAUUCCUGUAAAUUAAAUGCACAAUCCUGUAAAAUCAUUGCAAAUUCCUGUAAAUUUAUUCAAUUAAUAUUAAUUCUUGUAAAUUCAUUCAAUAUUCAACAAAUAUUCAAUACAAAAACAACAUUCAAGAAAAUUAACAUUCAACAAAACUAACAUUCAAGAAAAUUAACAUUCAACAAAAAUAACAUGGAAGACCUAUUUCGAUGGAGGAGUUUGAUAUCUUUGAUCGCUCUGACCUGUAUUAAUACUUCUAUCUUGCAACGAUCCACGAUCUGAAGGUUGUGGAGUUGUAUUUUAUUGGGAUAAAACUGUUUUCUUCAGGUCUUCAAACAUAUCAAACAUUUCAUCAUAUUUCCUUUUUAAAAUUUGAUUAUCCGGUAAAACAUUUAAGAUUCAUUAUGUAUUAUUUUAAAAUUUUAUUGACUUUCAUACAUAUACCUCUAUUAACUUCUCCAUUUGAUCGUUCAUUUUUUCUUUUCCUUUUCCUUUUUCUUUUUCUUUCUCAAUAGAUCUUGCAUUCAUUUCAAUUGAAAAUCUGGUAGAAGCAGUGCUCGACUCAGCAAAUGAUCCUCCAUCAAGUCCAAUGUGCCUCCCUUUUUUGCUUUGAAUAAAUUUUGAAAUGCAUUUUUGUUGAAUCACCUAAAUGCGAAAAAUAAUAUAUAAGAAAAUAAAACAUUUGAAUAAUUUGAAAUAGUAAAAUAAUUUAAAACAUACUUCUUCAUUCGUUGUUGGACGUAAUUCUUGAAUUUCAUCACUUUUGUAAUAUUCAGAUACGUUUCUCUAUAAAAUAAGUAAUAAGCUACGAGUAGAUCAAUAAAUUACUAUUUAUGAACAUUAUAAAAUAAACUAAGACUUACAACGACUUCGUUGUCAGUACCAGAAGAACGAAUCAAUACAUUGAUUCGUGAUGCCUAAAUGUCUUCGCGUUGCAGAUUUUCACUUAUUGCACUGAAAGGAAUUGACCAUGUUUUAUGAUUUAGUAUCUUCUUAGUCCGGUUUGUUUAGUUUAUUUUGGAUUUUCUCUGCGAAUUCAUAUACAAUGUUAAACAACUUUCAAUAUAAAAUAGUAAAUAAUUGAAGUAUGGAUGUAUAAAAAACAAUACCUUAAAUUCUUCUGUAGUCCAUAAUUCUUCCACACACUUUUCGAAAGUGAAUCGCGAUCAAUGAUGGAGGAAGACUAGCAUAUAUCCUUUCAGUUGAUUCAUCAUCAACAAAUAGAUCAAAGUAUUUUUCCUUUAUAUAGUUUCGAUAACGCCUCCAAGUAUUGUUGAGUUUGAAUUUGAUAUAUUGAUGAGCAUUUGGGUAACCGUCUAAAUCAAAAUCAACCUAUAUAAUAAAAAUUGAAAAAUUAUUUGACUAAAAAAAAUCUAAAUCAGAAAAUAAAAAAAAAACAUACCUCAAUGUACUCGAAUGCUUGUCGAAAGCUAUGAGAUGUUUGUUUCGGCCAGUUCACAUUCAAUGGAAAAAUUGUAUGCAUUUUUGCGACUCUAUUGAUCAUAGCAUUAAAUUUCUUACGCAGAUGUCCAGUUGGUUGCAUGUGCGUUGGCUCCCAUUCUAUUUUAUAUCUUUCACCUUGUUUGGGGUGAUCUUCUGGAUGAUCUAAGUUUCUACCUCUUCUAUUUGGUAGACUCAAUUCUGAAAUAAAAAAUAAUGAGUCAAUAAAUACACAUAAAUCAAUCAAUUAUAUAAUAUAUACAUCGAUUAUAAUUAGUUAGUUACCAUCAUUAUCUCUGAGGUCCGAGUCGGAGUCGGAAUUAGAUUCANNNNNNNNNNNNNNNNNNNNNNNNNNNNNNNNNNNNNNNNNNNNNNNNNNNNNNNNNNNNNNNNNNNNNNNNNNNNNNNNNNNNNNNNNNNNNNNNNNNNNNNNNNNNNNNNNNNNNNNNNNNNNNNNNNNNNNNNNNNNNNNNNNNNNNNNNNNNNNNNNNNNNNNNNNNNNNNNNNNNNNNNNNNNNNNNNNNNNNNNNNNNNNNNNNNNNNNNNNNNNNNNNNNNNNNNNNNNNNNNNNNNNNNNNNNNNNNNNNNNNNNNNNNNNNNNNNNNNNNNNNNNNNNNNNNNNNNNNNNNNNNNNNNNNNNNNNNNNNNNNNNNNNNNNNNNAAAUAAAUAAAAUAAAAAAAUAUUACUGACAAAUAAGUGAAAGUAAUUCCAGUAUGAGUUACUACAAAUCUCUAGGUGGCCUUUUCAAUACAACACUCUAAUCUAAUUUUUUAGGAUCAUCCACAUAGAAACAUUGUUGUGCUUGUGCUGCCAAGAUAAAUGGUUCGUCUUGGUGAUUUCCAAUAGGGUAAAGAAAAGAAUAUACUUUUCUUCUUCCAUCCUUCUGCAAAUGUAACUGGUGUACCGAAGUUUCCUUUUCCUAAUGCUUUCUUUGGAAGUUUGUUCAACUAAAAUUUGAUUAUACUUCAAAAAAUCAAUUCUUGAAUAUACUUUGAAAGUAAAACUAAUUAUAUUUUUGAAAGUAUAUAAUUUUACCUCUUUUAGUAUGUUCUCACCGGAUCUAAUUGGAGGUGUUGUAUCCAAUUCGAUUUUAUUAUUGAACUUUGAUUUUUCUUUUCUAUAUGGAUGUGAAGGAUCUAGAAAACGACGAUGUCCCAUAAAACAUGUCUUUUGACACCCUUUCAAAUAAAAACUACAUAUAUUGUUCAAACAUACACCACAUGCCACUUUUCCUUUUGUACUCCAUCCAGAUAAGUUUCCAUAUGCUGGAUAGUCAUUGAUUGUCCAUAGCAGAGCCGCUCGCAUUAUAAACGUUUCUUUCUUCACUGAGUCAUAAGUUUGAACACCAUCAUUCCAUAAUAACUUUAACUCGUCUAUUAAUGGUUCUAAAUACACAUCAAUAUCAUUGCCUGGUUGUUCUGGACCUGGAAUCAUUAAUGAUAGAAUCAUAUUUGAUUGUUUCAUGCACAACCAUGGUGGCAUGUGUUGUAUGGGAUAAGAACAACUGGCCAUGUGCUAUGUGAUAAUGUCAUUGAACCAUAGGGAUUAAAUCCAUCUGAUGCCAACCCUAGUCUAACAUUUCGAGGUUCUAUAGCAAAUUCUGAAUUGACACCAUUUAACAUUCUCCAUUGUUCCGUAUCUGCUGGAUGACGAAGUACGCCAUCUCUCAAACGAUGAUCUUCAUGCCAUGUCAUAUCAGUACACACCUAGUUUGAAUAAAUUAAAAUAUUUUAGAAUGUGAUUAAUUGACGAGUAUUUGACACAUAAGAAAUCAACAACAUGUACAUACCUUACUACACAUAUACAAUCUCUUAAGUCUUGGAACCAAGGGGAAGUGUCUCAAAACUUUAAUAGGAAUGCGUUUCCCAUUCGCUUUUCUUUCGACCUUCCAUCUUGGCUCAUUGCAUCGUAUACAAGUUUCUGAAUUUUCAAAUUCUUUUCGAUAAAGAAUGCAAUUAUUUGGACAUGCAUCGAUCUUCACGUAGUUUAAUCCAAGAUCUCUAAGGUAUGAUUUUGCUUCAUGCAUUGUUUUAGGAAUUGAAGUAUCACCCGAAGGAAUAACAUCUUGUAAGAAUUCCAACAACAUCUCAAAGAAUUUGUUAGAAACCCCAUCCAAGCAUUUUAGAUGGUAUAAAUGGAGAAUAGCAGAUAAUUUGGUGUAUUUCGUAUAACCAGGAUAUAAUUGUUCAUUAGCAUCUCUUAACCGGUGGUUGAAUUUUGGAUCAUCAAUCGGAGUAUUUUUCGGAUCAUUGAUCGGAGUAUCUAUCGGAGCAUUGAUCGGAGUAUCUAUCGGAUCAAUGAUCGGAGUAGCUAUCGGAUCAUUGAUCGGAGAAUCUAUCGGAUCAAUGAUCGGAGUAGCUAUCGGAUCAAUGAUCGGAGUAGCUAUCGGAUCAAUGAUCAGAGUGUUUGCGAGAUCAUUGGAAGGCAUUAUUGGAUUAUUGAUCGGACCAUCGAUCGGAGUAUUUGUGGGAUCAUUGUUCAAAUUAUCCGGAUGAUUGAUUGGAGAAAUAAUUAGAUCGUCUAUGACAAUAUUAGUCAUUACUUCAUCAAUCAGAUUAGCGACUGGAUAAUCAGUUAGAUCAACCAUUGUUUCAUUUACUAAAAGGGUCAUCUCAUUUUCUACUAUCAUAGGAGGUGCAGUAGAAACUGCUAUUUCACGUCUCUUGCGUUUCAAUGCUUUUUUAUGUGCUCUCGAACCUGGAAUUAAUUCUCCAUGCAUAUACCAUGUCUUAUACCUAUAUGCAUUGUCAAAACUAAAGAGUAUGACAUGCUCACUAAUGGUCUUACGAUUAUAAUAUUUGCCAUUGUGACACUUUGAACAAGGACAUGGUAGUUUUAAUCCAGGCUCCAUCUUGUGGUUUAAAUAGAUUUCAGCAAAAUCUAAAAAACUUUUCAAUCCACUUUGAAAUUUCAUCGAGGUUGAACUUUCAAACAACCAUGAUUUGUCAAGCUCUUCUAUUUGAUCAGUCAUUUUAGUCUAUCUCCUAACAUACAAAUAAAAAGAAACCUCUUAAAAAUCAAUAUUUAAAUGAAAAGGUAUUAAAAUAAGUAUUCAAAAAACUUAUACAAAAAUAACUAACUCUAACUAAACAUUUCUAAAUAAUAUAAAAUCUAGCAUAAUAUAACACUAUAAAACUAUAAAAUUAAACACGAUGUGAAUCAUAUGAUAAUCGAUAGAAACUAAGAGUUUAUAAAUUUUAGGGAUCGAAAAUAGGAAGUAUUCCUAAUCCCCAUAUGAAACUGAUUCCAACAAUUCCUGGAAGGUUUCCUUCCUAUUAAUGAUGAAUCUUCAACCUCAUAUUCAAGGGUAAGAUGGCUGGGUCAGGGCAUUGAUAGGACUAAAAAUUCCUAUUUGUAAAUUAUAAACAUAUCAGGGCAUUUGUAAAAAUUCUUGAUGGGCAGCUCAAGUAACCCCGAACUCAAAAUUUGCAAGGUAUAUGCAAGUUCAGACUUUAUACCUUAAUCUUCCUUGAGAUACGUUAUAAUUUUUUGAUUACAAAUUACAAAUUACAAAUUUACAAUUAAUUGAUACUUUUCUUUAAACUUUUAACAGUCAUUGCUAUCUGAUCGGAAUAAGCUUUGUGAACUUUUAGAACAACAUCCAAAACUGUGAAUAUAACAGAAAAAUUCUACUAGACAGUGGAAUCACUAGAACACCGACAUUCCAUUUGGAAGAUCUCCAACUCACUUGCACCAACCACCUUCUAUACUACAUAAAAGAUAUUCAGACAGACUGCAUAUUCAGAUAUUCAAGUCUUUAAUAAAAAAAGAAUCAUCCAUUAAGGUUAAUAGGGUAAUUAUUAUUAGUUAUUACCUAGAGCACAUUAUAAGUUAUUACCUAGACAGGAAGUAUCGAUAUUAAGCAAUUGAUAUCGAUAAUAACCUAGAGCACAUAAAUUAUGUUCUCAUUUAUCUUCAUUUCAAUUGGUGGGUAAAUAAUGACCAGCAACGUCUCGAUUUCAAUUAGUGGGUAAAUCCCUUAGAGAUUUAUUCCAUGACCAGCAUCCCAGCUUAGAUUUAGUCGACAGAAAAAAAGAAAAACAAAUGAAUCAAGAAUAGAAUAGAAUCAAGAACGGAAUAGGGAUGAUGCUCUUGAAUCAAGAAUAGAAUAAUCAAGAACAACUAUUAAGAAUAGAGUCAAGAACAAAAACAGAAAUAAUCGGUGAAGUAAACAUAUGACUCAAGAAUAGAAACAAAUCGAUCUUACCUGGAGGUGAAAUAAACGGAAUGGACUGGAGGUAUCGCCGGACAGGAAGUAUCGCUACUGCUCGCCGGACUGGAGAUAUCGCUGCUGCUCGCUGGACGACUGGAGGUAUCACUGCUGCCAGCCGGACGAUUGGAGGUAUCGCUGCUGCUCGCUGGACAACAGGAAGUAUUAACGGGAGGGAUUGGAGAUAUCGCUGUGAUUUGGGGUUUUUCACUUGAAAACACGAUUUGGGGUUCUUCACUUGAAAACACGAUUUGGGGUUUUUCACUUGAAAACACGAUUUGGGGUUUUUAACUUCAAGGUUUUAUUUUUUUAAUUUAAACUAUCCAUUUAAAAUAUUCAUUAGUUUAUAACGUUUAAAAUAAAGUUAGUUUAUAACUUUUUUAGUUUAUAACCAUUUAAAAUAAGGUUAAUUUCUAAUAGAAUUUUGUAAUUUAAAAUUUAUUAAAUUAGACUAACCACUAAAUUAAUAUUAGGAAUUGAUACUUUUUAUAAUUUAAAAAAAAUCACUAGUUUUUAGGAUUUAUAAUUUAAAAUAACUUUUAUAAUUGAAUUUAACUUUCAAAUAACAUUUAAAUUUAAUUUUUCACUUUAAAAUUUAAAAUAUCAAAAAUAACUUUAAUUUAUAACUUCUUUAAUUUUUUUUUUAAUUUAAAAUAAACUUAUUUUAUAACUUUUAAAAUAUCUAAUUUAUUAAAUUGAAUUUUAGAAUUUAAAAAUUAAAAUUUAUUAAAUUAGACUAACCCUAUCCUACUUAAGUUAAUAUUAGAAAUUGAUAUUUUUUAUAAUUUUUAAAAAAUCACUAGUUGUUAAUUUAAAAUAACUUUUAUAAUUUAAAAUAACUUUUAUAAUACUUGAAUUUGUAACUUUAAAAAUUAAAAUACCUUCUUUAAAUUUAUUUUUUAACUUUAAAAUUUAAAAUAUCUAACAUAUCUUGAAUUUAAAAUUUUUAUAAUUUAAAUUUUUAUAAUUAUCUAAUUAUAAUCUAACUUUAAAUUUUUUAUAAUUUAUAAUAUCUAAAAAACUAUAAUCCUAACUACUAACUCUUACUUUUAACCAUAACUUCUAACCCUAACACUAUCUAAAUAUGUAUAUAUACAUAUUUUUACUAAUUUUUGUUAAUUUUUAUUAAUUUCUAUUAACCCUAACACUAACCUUAACCCUAACCCUAAUUAUUUACAUUUACUCUAACCCUAACCCUAAUUAUGAAAAUUAUUAAAUAAUUGCUAUUUGUAACGGAAUAUCCGUUAAAAAUAGUUAAAAAAUCCAUAACAAUAUAUAAGUCCUAGUAUUUGUAACGGAAAUAGCAAAGUUAAUGGAAAUUCCGUUACAAAUUCCGUUAACUUUGAUAAUAACUAUUUGUAACGGAAAUUCCGUUAAGUUUGCGUCGUCCGAACUGCCUACUUUUUUUUGUAUGAUGGAGAUAGUUUUGAUACUUCCAUUGAGACAGUGGAAGAUCAAGAACAAAUUCAUAAUCAAUCAGAGAGGGAAGAAAACCCUCUACCAGACCAAAACACAGUGCCUAGGAGAUACCCUAGGAGGAAAACCAAACCACCAAUAAGAUUAAAUGAUUACUACUGCUCAUUUGCAACAAGUGAGGGCAAAUCCAAAGGAACAGCUAGCAUUCCCAAUGCAUGACUAAACCUACAAAAGACUAUCUACCUCUCAUAUUGACUAUCUAGAUAAGAUAUCCAUAACAACUGAACCUUCUUCCUUUCAACAAGCAAGCCAGAGCCCUGAGUGGGUAAAGGCUAUGAAUGAGGAACUCUCUUCCCUAGAGUUAAAUGACACUUGAGAAAUAGUACCCAAACCUAAGGGCAGGAAGAUAGUGGGAUCCAGGUAGGUCUACAAGGUCAAACAUAAAUCUAAUGGAGACAUUGAGAGGCUUAAAGCUAGAUUAGUGGCCAAAGGUCACACCCAAGUGGAAGGCUUUGAUUACAAAGAGACCUUCUCCCCAGUAGCAAAGAUUAUAUCAGUAAGGACUCUACUUGCAGUAGCUUCCAUUAAAAAUUGGGCAACAUACCAAAUGGAUGUUAGUAAUGCAUUCCUGCAUGGUGACCUGUCAGUGGAAAUCUACCUGUCACCACCCCCUGGUAUGUUACCUGAAAAUGAUUCUAGGGUUUGCAAACUUAAAAAAUCUCUGUAUGGCCUAAAACAGGCCAACAGAAAUGUGUAUGAGAAACUUACAAACUCACUGUCAAAUUUUGGGUAUACUCAAUCACAUUCUGAUUACACACUAUUUUUCAAAUCAAAAGAAAAUUCUUACACGUGCUUGCUAAUAUAUGUGGAUGAUCUAAUCAUAUCUGGUAAUAGUGAAGAAGAGAUCCAAAAUCUAAAGAAUCAUCUGCACAAUCAAUUUAACAUAAAAGAUUUGGGCAAACUCAAAUAUUUUUUGGGAAUUGAAGUAUCUCACUCAGAUGAAGGUAUCUAUUUAUCCCAAAGAAAAUAUGCUCUAGAUAUCCUCCAUGAUUUUAAUCAACUGAGGUCCUCCCCAUCAAAAAUACCAAUGUCUCACAAUUACAAAAACUCUGAAUAUGAUUCCCCAAUGAGGGAUCCUUCAAUUUACAGGAAACUAAUUGGCAAACUAUUAUAUCUCAUAAUAACAAGACCAGACAUUGCAUUUUCAGUUUGCCAUUUCAGUCAAUUUCUUGCAAACCCACUACAAUCCCACUUCAAUUCAGCAAUGAAAAUUCUAAAAUACAUCAAAGGUGCCUCUGGGAAAGGAAUACUAUACAGAAGAGAUGCAUCAUUAAAACUUGAAGCCUACUGUGAUGCAGAUUGGGCUGAUUGCCCCAACACUAGAAAAUCUAUAACAGGUUAUUCCAUCCUUUUGGGUGGUUCAGCCAUUGCUUGGAAGUCAAAAAAACAAUCCACCAUAAGCAUGUCAUCUGCUGAAAGUGAAUACAGGGCUAUGGCUUCAACAGUUUGUGAGAUUAUGUGGUUGCACUAUUUUUUAAAUGAUUUGCAGGUUAAACCCACAGAGGAAACAACACUGCAUUGUGAUAACAUGGCUUCCAUCCACAUAGCAUCCAAUCCAGUCUUCCAUGAACGUACUAAACAUAUUGAGAUUGAUUGACAUCUAGUUCGUGAUCACUUACAAGCAGGAUUAUUUAAAUUACAUCAUGUUGCAUCCAAUGCUCAAAUUGCAGAUAUUCUUACAAAACCAACAAGCUUGGAGUCACUCAGGAAUCUACUACCCAAGCUGGGACUCUAUGAUAUACACUCUCCAGCUUGAAGGGGGGUAUUGAAGCAUAAAGGAUUAAUGCUAAUCCAAAUUAUAUAGAGUUAGAUUGGCCCAUACUCAAGGCCCAAUAGGAGUUAGUAUAUAUAGUCAUGUAUUGUAAUAUUUAAAUUCACUUUUCAAAAUCCAAAUACAAAAAUCUAAACCCUAGGGUUUCCAAACGAUUCGUCUCCUCUCCCCAACCACUCUUCACUGUCGCCUCCGAUUUCCCAACGUCGUUCUGACUCACACCUCACCUGACUUGCUUAACUUUCUAAGAUACGACUCACACCUUAACUAAACGUCUCAAGAAAACACCAAACAAAGUGGGCCAUUUAUAUUUGAUCACAAAAGAUUGGUAUUUUAUAAAAAAAUACCCUAAAACUUCUUAUUUACGUUAUUUGUAUGUUUCCUUUUUUUAAUUAUUGCAUGUUUUGAUUUGUUUCCAUAUUCUAUUAUUUUAUUACUUAGUUAUCUUACAUUGCAUGAUUUCUUAGUUUAACAUUAUUUUAUUACGAUUGUAAUAUAUAAUUAUGGAAAGUAGAUCAAGUCUGUAAGGUUUAUUUAAAUCAUUUCUUUUGAGUUAAUUCAUCAUAACAAAUUCAAUUCUAUUUCCAUUUGUUAUAUCCGAGCAUCUUCAACGGUACUCACGUACCAAAAGUCGUCGACUUAUGCUAAAGCUUUCUAAUUUUCAUUUGUUUUCCCUCUGACUUGUGUCCUUGAUUUAUGGGACUGAGUUCCCUCAUUCCAGUUCAUCUGAGAAUUUCGGGGCUUACUACUCUUCUGAGUAGCUCACCAUUCUGGUUCCUUUUUUGUUGUUGUGGGCCGUAUUAAAAUAUCUAAGCAAUUAUUGACCUAAAAUAUAAAAUAUUAAUCCAAUAUAUAUUUCUAACUAUCAUUUUCAUUUUUUAAAUAAAGAGGUUAAUCGAAUAGUGCGACAUCAUGUACACGUAGAUGUGAGAUGAUUACUUGACUCUAUAAAAACAAAACUUUAACAUUUUAAAAUAUAUAUAUGAAGAUUUGAAGACGGAUUUUUGGAAGGGCUCCCUCUAUAUAAGGGUAAAGUCCUAUAAAAUCAAAAUUAAAACAUUUUCACACUUAAAUUUUUAUUCCUAUCCAAUAAUUCAAUAUCUGUUUGGGCUAAUCAAAUAUGGAUUUUUCGAUUUCUGAUAUUGAUAAUACUUUCACAAUUCAAGAUUGAUGAUACAGGAUUGCAUACAUUCCAAAGGAUAUUGAGACCUCUGGUGGAUUUAUCAACUCAGUGAGGAUCGACGAUCACAAUAUUGAUAUUCUGGUACCCGUAUCGAGGAAAUCGUCCAUUGAACGAUUCUUUUGAAUUAGAUCGAUUAUAAUUAGAUCAAAUGAUAUGAAAAAUAAAAACCCUGAAUGGUGAAUUAUUAUUAAUUAAUUAUUAUUAUUAACAAACUAUCAUUCACAUAAAAUAUUCCAUUUAAUAAUUAUUCUCAUUCUCUUUCUUGGAAAUGAAGAAAUAAGAUAUAAUAUAUAGAAUAGUCCCACAUUUUUUGGCUUAGAUGUUAGAGGUUUACUUGUGUUUAUAAAAAGAUUAACAUUUUGAAAUAUAUUACAACCAAUGUAAUCUUUUGGAAGGGCACCUAUAUAAGGGUAAAAUCGUAUAAAAUCAAAACUAAAACAUUUUCAGAUAAUAAGUUUCUGCUAAUCAAAUAUUGAUGAUCGAUAAAGGACAGGAUUGCAUACAUUCCGUAUCAAUAUUCAUACAUAAUAAUUAGCACGAUAAAAUACUUCAUAAGGAAAAUUUCCGGAUACAAAUAGUCUUUGAAUCACAUGAUUGACGAGCUAAAGGAUAUUAGGAAUGGAUGGAUAUAAGAAUUAAGACCUCAUUUUUCAGGCUGACCGUGGCUAAUUUUUUUAAUUUAUUAGGAAAAAUUUAAAUAUGAAAGAAACACAUAUUGUAAGGCAUUAUGUAUUUAUAUCAAUUGACAUUAACAUUCAAAUCACAUACUGGUAAGACAUGCCUAAUUACGGCAGUCACACCCAGCAACGCCUUUCAACAAGGACUAGGGUUCCAUCGUUUUACGCCGGACCCCCGGAAGGCUCCCACGGUGCGGACCAAGUUCAUCGUCAAAUCGCCGAGUUAACCCGUAAAUCGUGGUUGGACUACCAAAUCGCCGAUUUUAGGGACAAAUCGUCGAGUUAGGGCUCCGAUCGGCAGUAUGGUAGACUGCACAUCUCGCCCUUGGAAACUCGACGAGUUUGCCCUAAAUAGGCGAUUUCCAUACCUGAAUCGCCGAUUUACGACUGUUACUCGCCCUCAGCCAACGCCAUAAAGGCUCCCAUAUAUGGCAAUAGGCGCGAUGUCCACCUUUGAUCGUGCCCUCCGAGACUCUAUAAAAAGGGUCCCAAGGGGACACUCAAAGACACAACACAUAUUCCACUCUCACCAGAGCAUCACUAAGAGAAUCACCGAUUCUCACUAGAAUCGCCUAUUCUCUACUUGCCAGUAUUUGAAGUAGAGCGGGCGUCGUGGACUCCAGAGCCUCCAGCAUCACCUCGCACCAUCGCGAGCCCUGGUAGCAGAUUCAGUGCUUCAUCAGCUGGCGCCGUCUGUGGGACUAUCGAACUACGAUAUCCCGUCGUAAUCGCGAAUUUUUCUUCGCAAAGUUCGGCUCGAUUCCCUUAGGGUGAAUCGCUGACUUUGUGUCAAGGAAUCUCCGAUUCACACAGGCAAUCGUCGACUCCACCUAGUUUGUCACCGAUUCCGGGUUAUUCUGCAUCUACAAAAUAGAUUAAAAUUGAAAUAAACUCCGUGUUAAAUCGCAUGGAGGGUGCGCGCUGCCGGAGACACCUGAUCGGAAGAGGCAUCAGUCUGCCGGAGUCGUCGCUCGUGGAGAAAAGGGGGGAAUAACUUGGGGUUUGAUUGUAAACUAAAAUAAAUCAGUAGUUUACAAUAAACCGUAAUUAGUGUAAAUUUCGUAUUAAUUUCAUUGUUAAUGUUAAACUAUAUUUAUACUAUCAUUACAAUGAAAUUACUCAACAUAACUAUUAACUAAUUAUUUAACUAAAAGAUAUUUUCUAUUGGGCCGCCCAAUAUACACUGCUGGACUUUUACAUAUAAUUGACCCAUUCGUUCUUUUAUUUUAACUUGAACAUAUUGCACUUUAACCCCUGCAGAUCUCAUAUUUCGUUUGCUCUUUUAGUGGUCAAAUUGCCUGUAAGUAUUUAUUCUUCUAUUAUUUUCAACCAAGUCCAUGUCCAGAGUUUAACUCUUAAUUAUAGACACUCCUUGCUUGCUAAUUACUUCUUUACUCCCCCCUCAAGCUCUGGAAUAUAUGUUAAGUAUUUCAAGCUUGGCAGAGGGUGAAGUAAUUUCUUUCUCACCCAAUGGUUUGGUAAACAUAUCAGCCAAUUGGUAUUUUGUUCCAAUUUGCCUAAGGCUAAUUGUCCCUUGAGUUAUUAGAUCUCUUAUAAAGUGGCAAUCAAUUUCUACAUGCUUUGUCUUUUCGUGAAAGACAGGGUUAUUAGCUAAAUAAAUUGUUGAUUUAUUAUCAUAAUAUAAUAUUGUUUGUGUUUGGUUUUUUAUUUUCAUUUCCUUGAGUAACUAAUGAAACCAGAUGAUUUCACAGGUUGUAUGAGCUAUUGCUCUAUAUUCUGCCUUGCAUCAAGAUUUAGAGAUGACAUUUUGUUUCUUGGAUUUCCAAGAGACUAUUGAAUCCCCAAUCAUGAGGAAAAAUCCAGUUACUGACUUUCUGGUGAUUUGGCAUGAGGCCCAAUCAGAAUUACAAAAACCAUUUAUAUUCAUAUUCUCUUUAUUUUUAUAUAACAACCCUUGACCUGGAGCAUUUUUCAGGUAUCUUAACACCCUGAAUAAUGCUUUUAAAUGAACCUCUCUUGGCUCUCAUAAACUGGCUUAGCCAGUGCACUGCAAAACUGAGAUCAGGUCUAGUGAUGUUUAAGUAUAUGAGUUUCCCAACUAUUUUUCUAUAGAAUGUGGGAUCUUUAAUGGCUUCAGAAGUAUCAUUUUUUAAAUAUAUGUUCCUUUCCAUGGGUAUCUUAGACUCUUUGGCUCCUGAGAGGCCAGUUUCUUCAAGUAUGCCUAAAACAUACUUCCUUUGUGAUAAAAGAAUACCCUCACUAGAGUAUGACACUUCUAUGCCCAGAAAGUAAUUUAGCUUUCCAAGGUCUUUCAAUUUGAAUUUAUUUUCUAAUUGAACUUUUAAAAUGCUUAUUUCUAUCUAUUACUACCUGUGAUGAUUAUAUCAUCUACAUAAACCACAAGGUAGAUUAUGUUUCCAUUAUUCUCUCUUAUAAAGAGAGAGUAAUCUGAUUUUUCUUGUAUGAAUUCAAAAUCUUCUAGUGUGGUUUUGAUUUUUUCAAACCAGUUCCUAGAGGCUUGUUUAAGUCCAUACAAGGAUUUGUUGAGUUUAUAGACUCUCUUGUCUCCUUCUUGGAGCAUUCCCUGAGGUGGUCUUAAGUAGACUUCCUCUUGCAAGUCUCAAUGAAGGAAGACAUUGUUUACAUCAAUUUGGUAGAGGUCCCACCUUUUUUGUGCAGCAAUUGCAAUUAGUAUUCUUACUGUUGUCAUUUUUGCAACUGGUGCAAAAGUUUCAUAAAAAUCAAAGCCUUCUUUCUGAGAGAAGCCCUUGGCUACUAGCCUGGCUUUGUACCUCUCUAUUUCUCCAUCUGGCUUGUAUUUUAUUUUAUAUAUCCAUUUUGAGCCAACUGACUUCCUUCCUUUUGGAAGUUCAGUUAAAAUCCAAGUUUUAUUUAAGAUGAGUGCCUCCAUCUCUUUUUUCAUUGCUUCGACCCAUUUUGGAUCACUUGAAGCUUCAUUGUAUGUAUUAGGUUGAUUGUGGCUCGUAAUUUGUUUUAGAAACUCUUUAUGUUUCUUACCUAUGAUAGGAUACAUAAUUACUCAUGGGAUAUUUGAUUUUAUUUGAAUAAUUUUCAUCAUUUUCCAAAUAAAAAUCUUUGUAUUGGCUUGGUUUUGUUAUGACUCUUCCUAGUCUUGUUUUUUGUUUUGUGGAAAUUUGAUUUGUCAAACCAUUCCCUGUUUCAAUUUGGGCAUUUUUUUCAAAAUCCAAUUCAUUUUGGUUUGGAAAAUUAUUCCCUGUUUUGUUUUGGGUAUUUUUCCCAAUAUCUGAUGUGUUUUGGUUUAAAUGCAUAUUCCCUGUUUCUAUUUUAUUAUUUUUUUCAGUAAUUGAUGUAAAAAUUUCAUUCCCUGUUUGAAUUUUGCUUUUCUUUUCAAAAUUUGAUGUAUUUUAAUUUGGAAUGUAAUUUUCUGUUUCAAUUUGAAUAUGUUGUUCAUCAUAUUCUGAUUUUUAUUUUAUUUUCUUGUUGUUUUGAAGGAGUUUUCUUCUGUUCUCCUUGAAUAUGGGAAAAGUUCUGAAUUUGGUUGUUUUCUUCAAAAAAUGGCUGUUCUGUAUUGCAGAAUAGGUCAUUUCUUGUUUUAAAAUUUUUAUCAUGAUCAACCUGGGUAUUGCCAGUUAUAUCUGAUUCAUGUCUUGCUUUUAAAAUGGUUUUAGGAUCAGUCUGGUCAUUUCCAGUCAUGUCUGGUCCAUUUUCCAUUUUUUUCUGAUUUUUAAUGCUCUUUGGGCAUUUUUCAGUAUUUUCUGAUUUUUCUUCUUGGACUGUUUUAGAACCAGGGGAGAUGGUCUGAAUUACUUCAUAAAAGUCUCUUUGUGAUGGAAAAAUAUCCAUCAAUUCAUUUUGUUGUGUUUUGGGUUUUAUUCCAUGAAAAGGAAAAAUAUCUUCCUUGAAGACCACAUCUCUACUUAUGUGAAAUUUUUGGUCUUCUAUUACAAGUAUUAAGUAUCCUUUUAUAUUGGGAGGAUAUCCCAUGAAUAUUCCUCUAAAUGUUCUUGGUGAUAACUUGUGUUCUCUAUUAUGUGUAGUUGUAUAGCAUAAACAUCCAAAAGUUUUUAGAACAUUAUAUUUGGGUUUUUGUUUAUGUAAGAUUUCAUAGAGAGUCUUGUUUUCUAGUUCUUUGGAUGGAAUCCUAUUAAUUAGGAAUGUUGCAGCUAAUAUACACUCUCCCCAAUAUUUUAGGGGUAUGUUAGCUUGUAUAUGUAGUGCCCUAACUAUAUUAAGCAAGCGUCUAUGUUUUCUCUCGACUCUUGCAUUUUGUUGAGGAUUAUAUAGGCAAGUAAGUUGGUGUAUUAUGCCAUGAUUUUCUAAUAAAACUUUGAAUUUUUCAGAUUUAAACUCACCCCAUUUCCACUCCUUAUGAUUUUUAUAUUUUUGCAAAAAAAAUUCUUAACCUUUGUUAUGAAUCUUUUAAUGCAUUCAUAAGCCAUGUAUUUGUUUUUAAUUAAGUAGACUCAUGUUGUUCUACUUAAAUCCUCAAUUAUUGUGAGAAAAUAUUCAUAUCCUUCAUGGCUAGUUGUAGAAAAUUUACCCCAAAUAUCUAUAUGUAUUAAAUCAAACAAAUAAUUGCUUUUUGAUAUGCUUUUUGUAUAUUUAAGCUUAGUUUAUUUGGAAAAAGGGCAAAUUUCACAAUCUUUAAUUAUCUAAAAAAAACUUGUUUGAUGAAUUCUUAUUACAAAAACUUGAGUCAAUAGUUUUUACAACAUUUUUAUUUGGAAAACAAUCUAUUUCUUUAUUUUUGACUAGCACAUCGAGCUUUUGAGAAGAGAUGUGCCCAAGCCUAUUGUGCCAAAUUCUGGAAUCUAGGGUUGUAUUUGCAAAUUCAGAAGUGGGAUUGGAGUUUGAGUUGUAUAAAUAGAGCCCAUCUUGGGAUCUACCCUUCCCAAUCACUUUCCCUGAUUUGCUUCCCUGAAAAAGGCAUUUUUCACCAUCAAAUAAUACUUCUAAAUCACUGUUUGAAGUUAAUUUAUUUACUGAAAUUAAAUUAACUUUAAACUGAGGGAUAUAUAGCACAUCUCUUAAUUUUAAGUCUUUAGAAAGGGUUAUUGUUCCGGUAGAUUUUACCCUACAUCUUUCACCACUAGGAACGGUGACAAAAUGUUCUUGCUUCUCGGUUGGAAGCUUAUCAAAAUACUUGAGGUUCCCAGUCAUGUGUUGGAAAACCCCAGUAUCUACAAUCCAUUCUUUAUUAAGAUCUAUUGCAUUAUAAGCAUAAUAUUUAUUUUUGAAAUUUAAUACAUUAAAAAAAUAUUCCAUACCAUUGGAUUUGUUUGCAAGGUCUUUUAGUAUGAGGGCCUCCUCAUUUGUCAAGGUUGUUUGGGCAGAAGGUGUCGCCUGAUUUGUGACUUGAUUUGCACUCUCAUAUUUGGCUUUUUUAUUCUUGUUUUCCUUCUUCAAAUUAUCCUUUUUCUUUCUAGAAAUCCUAUUAUAUGGAAGCAUUCCUUCCUAGUGUGACCAUAAAACUUGCAAUUGUCGCAAUAUUUAGAAGUGUCUAAUUUUUUACCACUUUUACUAUAUAUUCCUUUCUCUUCUUCUUUUUCAUUUACUUUCUUAGUAAAAGAAUGCAGCUGAUUCUAUUUUAGGAGUCUUUUCCCAAAAAUCUGUUUUCUGUUUUUCCUCUUGAGUUAUCAAAUAAAAAACUCUAUUCAUGCUAGGUAACUUAUCAUAAGAAAGGAUUUGUCCUCUUAGGGCUUUAAACUCUUCAUUCAGUCCCAAAAGGAACUGAUGAAUCUUAUCCUUCUCCAAUUUUUCAUUGAAUUUUUGGGUACAUUUAUCACAGAAAUCGCAAUCAUCUAGCUCUACUUUUUGAUUCCAUAGAGUCUUAAAUUUGUCAUAAUAUUCAAUCACAUUGCUAUUGCCUUGAAGAAGAUUAUUUAACACAUACCUUAUUUGGUUGUAUUUUGGGGCAUUGUUUUGCUUAUAUCUCUCUUGUAAAUCUGCCCAGGCUGCAUAAGCCGUGUCGGUAUGCAUUAAAGUGGAAGCGAUCUGUGGAGAUGACCCGUUCACUAUCCAAGACAGCACCAGUUCAUUGACCGUCUCCCAUGCCUCGAAAUCUUUAUCAUCAACACUCUCGGGCUUCUUUACUUUCCAUUUAUGAAGGAAAUUUUCCGCCUAGAAAUGAGAGAUAGUUUCAUGGCAUUAGCCCAUGUAGUAUAAUUGGACUCACCUACCAAUUUGUCUGAAACCAUUAGGGCUCCAGGGUGGUCGCCGGAAUUCAGGAAAUAGACUGAAUCCCUAUUGUUGAGCGCCGAUGUGUGGUGAGUCUUUCUUGAUCUUCUUGAGUGAGAUGAGUGAUGGGUUCUGUGAUGGGUUGAUUUUCGAUGAUGCCUUGGUGGAAUUGGAGGACUUUGGCGUGUCGGGGAAUGAAGAAUCGAUUUUACAGUGGAGGGGUGGUCGCCGUCGAACUGGAGCCGGAUUCUGUUCGUUCUUCGCUGGAAUGUUCAGACUUUGAUGCGGAAGCAUGGCUGGUCUUUCUAGCCGAUACCAUGUUAAAUCGCAUGGAUGGUGCGCGCUGCCGGAGACACCUGAUCGGAAGAGGCGGCAGUCUGCCGGAGUCGUCGCUCAUGAAGAAAAGGGGGGAAAGAACUUGGGGUUUGAUUGUAAACUAAAAUAAACCGGUAGUUUACAAUAAACCGUAAUUAGUGUGAAUUUCAUAUUAAUUUCAUUGUUAAUGUUAAACUGUAUUUAUACUAUCAUUACAAUAAAAUUACUCAACUAACUAUUAACUAAUUAUUUAACUAAAAGAUAUUUUCUAUUGGGCCGCCCGAUAUACACUGCUGGACUUUCAUAUAUAAUUGGCCCAUUCGUUCUUUUAUUUUAACUUGAACAUAUUGCACUUUAACCCCUGCAGAUCUCACAUUUCGUUUGCUCUUUCAGUGGUCAAAUUGCCUUUAAGUAUUUAUUCUUCUAUUAUUUUCAACCAAGUCCAUGUCCAGAGUUUAACUCUUAAUUAUAGACACUCCUUGCUUGCUAAUUACUUCUUUACUCCGCAAUAAAUUAUAAUAACUAACAAAACUUUCUCAUUGAAGUUAAGAAUGUUAUGUGAUUCUGAAUAUUUUAACUCAAUGAAAUUUUAUGGUCCUAUCGGAAAGGUUAUUCUGAAUAAUUUAACUCAAUGAUACUACAAUAUAAUUUAAAUCCUCUAAGAAAAAAUCAUCCAUAAAAAUAAAUUAAAUAAAACUCUCCAAUAGCUCUGGAGUAACUAUGGAGUAGCUCUCCAACAACUCUUGAGUAGCUCUCCAGUAGUUCUGGAGUAGCUCACCAAUAGCUCUGGAAUAACUAUGGAGUAUCUUUUCAGAAGCUCUGGAGUUUCUCUCUAAUAGUUCUAGAGCAGCUUACCAGUAGCUCUGGAGUAGCUCUCCAUUAGCUCUGGAGUAGCUCUCCAUGAGCUCCAUCAACUAAAUCAGAAAAACUCAUUCAAACUAAAAUUAUACUGAAAAAGAUUCAAACUAAAAUAUCAGUAGAAACUAAAUCAUUAGAACUAUAUCAGUAGAAACUAUACCCUAGUUUAUCAUUUUAUUAAAUCAGUAGAACCAUAUAAGCAGAACAACAUCAAAAGAAAUUAAAUGUAAUCAAAUUUAUCAUUUUAGUAUCUAAGAAAGUAAUACAAAAGUAAUAUCAGUAGAAACUAAGAAAGCUUCAAAUGAGUGAGGUUCUAUGAAAGUAUCUAAGUGUUCAAUCAGUAGAAACUAAAUCUAAAAAACAUUACAAAAUAAAAUCUGAAAUCUGAUAUGUGAAUAUCAACUAAAACAAGCAAACUCACUCGAAGUAAAAUAAUACUGAUAAUGAUUCAAACUAAAAUAUCAGUAGAAACCAAAUCAAUAUAAGCUAUAUCCGUAGAAACAAAAAUAUCAGCAAAAACUAAAAAAAAAUGAAUGUCGUGGAGUGUGUCAUGUUCUACUACUUGAGAUGGGGUACGGUAGGUAGAAAUUCUGGGAGCCUUCCACCCGAUCGGGUAAUUCAUCGCCAGGAGGAUCGGUUCUAUGGCCUCCCGCGACUCCGAUUCUGAGAUUGCAAUCAUAAGCACUUAGGGCAGCACCGAGAUCAACACAAUCUGGGGUUUCUCUGGGGGCUCAGGGAUAUAGUAAGGAGCCUAAAGAUUAGCCUGGUCCUCCUAUGCUUUGGUGAGGGACUGAGGGUCCGAUCCCUGUGAAGGUAACCUUUCCGCGGAGAGCCGGGACAUGACUUGGUCUUGUAGGAACCUCUGAUUCUAUUGGAGGUUGAUGAUGAUCUAGAGCAUCUGGUUCACUGUUGAAAAUAGGUCAUCCUCACUCUUGUGACAAUCCUUUCCUUCUUUGUGGUGGGACGGCUCGCCUUCACGACGAUGUUUCUCGUGGGGAACUUAGGAUCGUUGUGCGUGCGGGAAGAUUCAAUCUUCUCAGAGUCUUCCGUCACCGGUGAUUUCUCCUCCCGGCGACGGCACCUGGGCUCCUCCUACUUCUCGUCAUCGGCGCUCAUUCUUCUCUCUUUCAUGUUAGUUCACAUCGGGUUCACCAAUUGAUGGGGUGUCUUUGGAUCACUCCCACUCAAGUUAUCACUUCAAGUUUUAGUUCAAUAAAUGACUCCGUUGUUCAUUAAUGAAGUUCCUUAUUUAUAUGUGGUUAAACAGGUUAGUGUGUGUUGGACUACACGUUGGGUCAUACCCGACCCUAGUUGAUAAAGUUGUUGGGCUGGGCUUUAAUCACAUAUCAAAACCAAGCAAAAAUCUGUGAAGAGAUUGGGUGAAUUCUGAUAAAAUGAAUCAAAAUCUUUGGAUUAAUAAUUUUCAAUGUUCAAAUAUAUGUAAAAAAUGGUGAUCUUAUUGAUCUAGCCAUCUAUAAAUUGUAUAUGUAGCAAUCGUGAUUAAAAAAGAUAAUAUUGUCUAGUUUGUAAUUAGAAGUAACUAGUAUCAGGAUGGAUUCGAGCAAUCUAGGAUGAAAGGACAAUGGAAGCUCAAAUUACAAAUCCUUAAAUUUUUUCACUGAUUAUUUAAAAGAUAAGAUCUGUAUUUUCAUUCAAUAUAUAUAUUAUCACCAUACAAAUAAAAUAGAAAAGGACUUGAAAAGUAUAUUAUCGAAGAAUAUAAUUAAUUAAUAAGAUCUAAUUUUAAUCAGAUCAAUCUAAAGGUUUCUUAAUAAUUACUUAGGCACCUGAAUCUCUUUUAAAUGACAAUAAUCCAAUCAGAAUAUUGCCCAUUUCAUCUUUUCCAAAUGGUAUGUUUUCCCAGUUUGUUUUUAUGUUAGACACCUCAAGCAUUGGUGUGAUUUCAGAAAUAUAUGCAAUGAAUCUCAAUUCUGACUCUCAUCCAUGAACAUUGCUGACAUCAAAGAUUUUUAGAUAAUUGAAGUUUGAAGAACUGCUUUUCAGAUCAUUCCAAAACAUAUUUGACGAUGGAAGAUGGUGAUACAGUAUCCCAAACCUGCUCACAGCUUACCAGCAACUAGAAGUCCGGAUAGCCUAAGAUGAGUUGACGUACCUAUUCUAGGGUUGGGGAGGUUCCAAGUCAAAUCCUAAGAAGAUCGACUUUCCCAAGGAUCGACUUCCCUGGGAUCGACUUCUGAACAAAGUCGAUCCCCAGGAAAGUCGGAUCCCAAGAAAGUCGAUCUCUGGAAAGUUGACCUUGGGCCCCGAUCUGAUCAGUUAGGCGAUUACUGCCCAAAUGACCAGAUUACCCCCAUAAAAAUCCCUAUAAAUAGGAGGCAUCCCCCACUCAUUAAAGGCAGGUCAUUUUAAGUGAAAGAAGUCCUAGCGAAAGAGAGCUCUGCGCACUUGAGUUCCGUUCCGAUUUCCCGCGGAGUUCCCCGCAUGGCGCUUGCUAGUGCGUCUUGGAGUACUAGUCGGGUUUCACUCCCAUCAGUUGGCGCCGUCUGUGAUUCAAGAUACUCACGACAAAAGCUCCUCGACUUUUUCGAAAAAAGGGUUCGACUUUUUUCCAAGUCGCUAGCCAAGGAGUCUUGCGAGAAAAUCAGCCCGGCAAGGGAUCGACUUUUCAGAAGAUCGACUUUUUUUCUUCCAAAAAAAAGUCAAUUCCUCAAGGAGCUAUGCUUUUAAGCUGCGACUUUCGAGGAAUCCUCCAAGUGCACAAGAAUCGACUUUUUUUUUGAACACCCUAGGAUGCACUACAAAAAAUCAGCGCAGUUCUUGCGCCCAUCUCCCGGCGGCCUGGCCGCCGGAAUGUUAAACUUGUCCGCCGGCAUAAUUUUCCCUCGUAAAUGAGAGAAAUGAGCUGACAGCCAGGCCGACGGUAUAAAUUUUUGUAAAAAAUGCCACUGGCCUAGCCGCCAGCUCCAAUUUCCCCAACGGUCGGAAAGAAGUUAGCCGACGGCCUGGCCGCCAGCUCCAAUUUCACCAACGGCCUGGCCGACGGUAUAAAUUUUUGUAAAAAAUGCCACUGGCCUAGCCGCCAGCUCCAAUUUUCCCAACGGUCGAGAAGAAGUGAGCCGACGGCCUGGCCACCGGCAUUCUAAAACCCUCAACGGUCGGGUGAAAAAUUACUGGCGGCUUGGCCGCUGAAUACUUUUUCCCGCUUAUUUUUUCCAGUAGCCGGCGGCCUGGCCGCCAGGAUUUUUUGGAAACCCUAAAAUUACAACUUGCGCCACCGUGGUCCCCUUCACAGUCAAACUUAGUCAACUUGUACUUAAGUGUUUCCCAGCGGCCUGGCCGUAGGGAAUUUUUUAUAUAAGUAAAAAAAUUUCCAGAUUCUUUCAUUUCCCCCCAAAUCGUUCCCACUUCUCUCUACUCCUCCCCACUCCUCCCUAAUCUUCCCCAACUCUCCUCCGACGAGCUAGGCUUCCUCCGGUCUCUUUUUGUUGUGGUCAUCGAAGGUAACUCUUCUCCUUAUCUUCUUCUUCAUCUUUCUCUCUUCCUUCUUGGUUUCCUCUUCUUCUUCUUCUUAUUCCAUUUCUUCUUCUUACUAUUUUUCGUUUCUUCUCUUUAUUUUCUUGUUCAUUUAAUCUCCAUUUUUGUUAAUAUUGGUCUUGAAUAUUGAUUGUUUAAGUUUAGGGUUUUUUAGUUUUAGUUAUUAUUGAUUUAUGUGUUGUUUAAGUUAUUGUUUGAAUGUUAUUAUUGAUUGAUUUAUGUUAUCAUGUAGUGUUUGAAAUUGAUUUAGGAUUAUCAUGUAGUAAAGAAGUAAUAAGAAGAUGGGGAAAAUCCGAUGAAAUUGGGGGUUUAAAAUUGGGGGUUUUGAAAUUCUAAUGUUUGUGUUAAAAAGUGGGGGAUUUUCUGUGUUAAAAAUUGGGUGUUUUAUAUUUAGGGUUGGAAUCUUGAUUGAAAUAUUUAAUUUCUGUUUUAAAAUUUUAAUUCAAUGAUCUGUUUUAAAAUUGUAAUUAAAUGUUAUGUUUUAAUUAAUUAUUUAAAUUUUCUGUUUUAAUUUCUGUUACUAUUUAUGUCAUUUUAUAGGUUGAAUUGUUGUUGGAUUUUGUGUCUCCGAUAUCCGAUUUUCGUUCCCCGCCAUGCCGAACUGUUUUGAAUUUCUUUUGGACCAUAACCCGACAGGUUUUUAUUUUGAUUAAGAUAUGUAAUUUACAAGUUUAUGAUAUUUUAUGUGUUUUGUUGUAUUGAUUGAUCGAUAUAUAUCUUUGUGAUAUGUUGUGUGUUGAUAUUUUGUUGUAGGUAUUUGCGGAUAAUUGUAAUUAGCAUUUGCGAUCGAAAUUGAAGUUGCGUUUUAAUCUUUAUCGAUCGAUCAAUGUAAUAUUUUUUAUUCAUUUUAAAUUAUUCAUUUAUUAAUUAGAUUUGCAUAUUAAUUAAAUACAGAGCGCUUCUAGUGAGAACGCCUGUAUGCGCACUAUGUGCGAUCUUCAAUCGUAGCCCUCCAUUUAAUCACAAUUAAUUCUAGCCGUUGUAGAGAAAAUGAACUUCUGUAGCCUAGUUUUUGACAGUCGUGGUAGAGACUGACCGGCGAUAGUACACGCUAACACCGUUUGUACAUUGUGCAGUGGAGUGACCGGCGGUCGGUUGUGUGUGUUGAAAUGUACAUUGCAUUUACUUUGAAUUUCUAACCCUAGCUUCUCUCAUUUGCUGAAAGUUAUCUUUUGCUAUCUAGUUUGCGGCGCACUUUUGUUCUCAUAUUUCUCUCCCGAUCAGCGAACAAGGCGUCUUCCUCAACACCAACAUGUCGAACGCAAGUGGUGACCGGAAUGGGAAUGGGAAGGCACCGGCGAGGUCUCCACUGUCCAAGAUAAGGUGAGUAUCCUAAACUCCGGUUUUAUUUGUUGUUCAAUUUCUCUUCAUCUCAACUCCACUUCGAAAUUAUUUUUGAAUCUUCUCACAUUAUUCUUUCUACACCUUCAGCGAUUGCCUCCUAAAUAGUCAUCGCUGGCUAUUUCCUUCCACAAUCGUAUCUUCCCCCAAAAAUUUUUUUUCUCUGUUUUUCUAGUGUUUUCCUCUAAUGAUGUCGAAGAGGUUUAAACUUUCCUAAUUUAGUUAUUCUUGUUAAUUUUAAUUUUCGUUUUAUCAUGUAUUUACCUCCCCCCUGUCUCUUAUGUUUGCAUUUUCUCUAUUCUAACCUAUAAUUUUGGUAAUGUGUGAUUUAUUUUAUUAGGUGCACAAUGCAAUGUGCUAGAGCAUGUGGUUUCUCUGCCAAGUAUUUUAUUUUUUUUACAUAGUUUACAACUAAUGCAGCAGAGAUAAUUUUUUCCCUAAGCUAUGUUUAUGUGUACUUCUUUACAAUUUUGUUUGCAAAAUGGAAUUUUCAUACCUUAACCUAUUAUUCCCCCUGAUUUUUGCGUAAUAUAGACUGUGUUUGGUAAUGUGUGCACUAUUGUAUUGUUUGCACUAUGUACUAUGACCGGAUCAUGCCUAGGUGCACUUAUGUUUUUUGACUGUUUUUCGCAUAAUUUAAAUGAGUAAUUUUUUUUGCGUGACAAACUGAUUUGUGGUAAUCUUAAUUUUAAAUUUAAAAUGAAUGAAACAUAUCAUAAUCUAGAUGAGGUUCGUAUCUCCGAUAGUUUAGUAACCGAUGACAAUUGUUUUUAGGUUAUUUGUCGAUCUCUUUUCAGUUAAUCCUAUUGUUAUUUUUUCGAAUUAUUAAGAAUCUUUUAUUGCCUCAUGUUGAAAUUUUUUUUUUUUAUGUAGGUCGUUAUUCAAGAAGAAGGCAACAAAGAAAAGGUCGGGAUUAGGGAGUUCGUCAACUAAUGGUAAGAAAAUAAUCGUUGGACUUAACUCAUGAAUUCCGUAAUAUGUACUAUUUAUCUGAAAUGCACUAUGCACUAUUUUCACAUUAUCUGAAAUGCACUAUGCACUAUUUUCCCGUAAAGUACUAUGUACUAUUUAUAUUAUUUGUUAUUUCAUCUAUCUUAAUUUCAAUUGUGUGUGUGUAGAUAAUGUUGACGUCAACGAUGUGCUCUGCUACUGCCCUGAAUGCAUGGCUGAUCCAAUUCAUUGUGAGGAGCAUCAUCGGAACGAGGAUGCUCGUGCAAGGGAAGAUUUGGACCGUGCGUUCGGGGACGCUAAUAUCCACGGUGAUAGGGCAGGUGAAGGCCCUUUUAGCCCACAUCCGAUACAUUCUAGUAUGGACACGGGGGACGAGCCAAAGGCCUCUUACGAUGAGGGUGGUGAAUUUAGGAAUAUUGAUACUGUAAGAGGAUCUUACAGAGGUUAGUUGUAAUCCUGAAUUAUUUUAUUUCCUGUUUUUUUUUUAAAUUACAAUUUAAAUUUUGAGGUUUUUCUAUUUGUUGUAGGUGCUGGACUAAUCCAGCAUAAAUGUAUACUUAGCCGCAUAAUGUCGGAUCGGAUUGGGGCUAGGUUGAGCACUAGUGUCAAGAUCAAACUCAUGUAUACACCUUUUCAUCACUUUAUGGAUUCUGGUGCCCUCGUCGUAGAUUCAAUGUUGCUCGACGACAUUUGUGGGCGGUACAUCGGGGAGUCACAGUUCAGUUUUGGUGCGUUUGUUCUUACUUGCACCGAUCAAGAUUUUGGGAAAAUAUUGGGUCUACCAUACAUAGGGCGCAAGAUUGAUUUGCUUGAAGCAUCUUCGAAACCCAAUGUUAAGCUAGGGAGGUUUUACAAGGAGUAUCUGCAUGGGAAAAUUCUUACAAGGUAAUCAUUAGUGGUUGUAUAUUUAUGAUUUUAAGUAUUGGAAUUUUAAAUGAACUAAUAAUUUUGGCGAUUGAUGUGCAGGCAGAAACUUGGUGUAAUGUUCCGUGAUUUGGCCAACAGCAUGGGUCAUAGUACAGUCGACGAAGAGGACAUAUUUCGUCUGUAUCUGUGCUUAUUAUUUUCAGGAUUUCUGUUCACAAAUGCUCGGUGCACACUGCGACGUAAGAUAAUCAGUUACAUUGAAGACCUUGACGAUAUAUCCUCAUACAAUUGGGCUGGAGCUGUUCGAGACGUAACAUUCUCGAACAUAGAUUAUUGUCGGACGAGGGUACUCGAGAGGGAGCGUGGCGGACGUGUUGCCUCCGUUUAUAUGAUGGGAUGUCCCGCUGCCUUGAUGGUAAAUUAUUUGACCACUAAAACUGAAUUAAGAAUUUAUCCAUUUAUAAAAUGCUGUUCAUUUUUCAGGUUUGGGCGUUGGAGCAUACACAUGUUGCUGAACCUGGUCGCCCAGAUGGAUACCUACCGUAUCAACGGUGGGUUGACUUCAAGAUGGAUGGAGGAAUUGAACUGGGCAAGCUCGCGCCCAACUUAGUAUCCGAAGUACCUCGGACGUACAAGUUAGAAGAAGAGGAUGCGGACAUGGUUAGUGGAGACGCUUAGGUCCAAAUUAGGAUGACGUUGAUUAUCUUUUGUAUUCGCAAUGCAUGUAUUUUAUAGUAGGAAAAGAUAUAUUGUUAGUGAAUGCUGCUUAGUAAAAAAUUUUAGUAUGUUCUAGUGUAUUAAGUAUUUUUAUACGAUAAUUAAAAUGAAGAUUUAAUAUUUCCAUUUUGUCCACUCAUAGUCUAUUAUUAUUUACUAUAUUUUUUCACACAUUUGGAGUUUAAUCAGGACACAGAAACGUCUACUGAAGGUCAGUCCAGCAGCUCUGACGAAGACGGUACGUCGAACGAGGUCCAUGAUAGUAUGCCUGAUGAUAGUGACGACCUAGCCCAUAGUUCUAACUCAUGCCGAACUCCUGAAAUUGUUGGUUGUGAUCUGUGUGUUGAGUCUUCUAACAAACCGAAAAGGCAAAGUAAUAAUGAGCGCCAAAUGCAAGGUAGGAACCUAUUUCAAGAUCUGGAUAAUGCGGAUGAUGUGAGUGUGGGGCGUCCUCAUGAUCUAGAAAUUUCCGAUGAGAUUCAAACAAAAUCUGGACAUGUAUCUGUCGGGACAGAUAGAUGGUGGUAUUACCCUUGCAAUGAGGAUCAGGAAACUUGUUUGGACUUCAAUAGCAAUGAUAGUCAGGGAGGAACAAUAGGUACCGAAUCUACCAAGGAAGCGUCUUUUUUCUCAAGUUGCCCUGGUCUUUCAGGAAUAGAUAUAUAUGGUAACCCAGAACAUGGGGGGCUACAAGUUGAAUACAGUGAGGAUAGCCGUGGUAAUAUUUUUCGAAAAAAUAGUAAUCCAGGUUACCUUACCGCUACACUUCCUAGUUAUCCUGAAGAACGAGGUCCUCAAAUGGAUACUCCAUUCGUAGUCGACGCGGAUGGAUUUAUUAUGUAUGUGGAUGGGCUUCCAAAUUUGUGGAGUGAGGUAGAGGGUCAUGGGGGCGAUUCUAUGCAUAUGUAUGAUGUCGAGCAGUUUGAAAUUGUUGGUGCAUCUUCGCACGAUGUUUGCAAAAUGGGGACCGAUGUUGAGCGUAGGGCAGAUAGUUCGGAAAAGAUGGUUGUCUCGGGAGAGGAUAUGACUAGCCGCAACGCGAGAGAGCCGGAUUUGUUGGAACUAGAUGUUCCCUCUAGAGUGCAAAGGAUUAAGAAUAGGAGAGAGCAUCAGGUUAUUUAUUUGAUGAAGUAUAUUUUUCGUGUUUGUUCAUUUUUUUUUUUUUUGAAAUUAGUAAUUUUGUUGCAGAGGAAUAAUCGGUUAGAAAGGGAGAGAAUCGCGGAACUAGAGGCUGCCGUAAUGAAGGAAGAGGCAGAUGAUCUAAUGAAAUAUAAAAACGAGAGGAAGAAAAGAUACUCUCGGAUAGGUUUUGCAAAAGAAUUACAGAUGAUUGGGUAUGUUUCGGUAAUUAAAAUUAUUUAUGUAUGGUUUAUAUUUUCGAUUAAUAUGUAUGGUUCAUUCAAAUAUGUAGAAAAAGAAGAGCUACUAUUGAAUAUCAAGGGCGUAGAUGUACUAGGGAGCAGGUCUUGCAUAUUUUAGAAAGCAAGCUAUAUGGCGUCGAGGUUCAUUCACUUACAAAUAUGAAAUUGAUUAUGACAUUUUAGUAUAGUAUCGUAUUUUUUCAUGAUUUAUCUUACAAUUAUUCGAUGUACUUUGUUGUAGUUGAUUGACUUGUAUGCGGAGGUCAUAUUAAACAAAGUCGUGGUUGAUGGUAAAGAUAGGGCAUCUUAUGAAAUUCUACCCGCAGACACAUUCAUGAAAUACAAGGGAUACAUAGGUGGUAGUGGUAAUUUGGAAACGCAGUUCUAUAUGGAGAUGAUGGCCGAUAAAGUAAAUGAUUCACAAAUUGAUAAAAUAUUUGUGCCGAUAAACCAAGGAGACCAUUGGCAUCUGCUUACAGUUAAUUUUGAUGGUUGCACAAUGACGCACUAUAACUCUAGGAAGAAUCAAGCAAAGCACUAUCGUGAAUUUCUUCGAGUGGUAUUAAAAUAAAUUCAAAUUUAAGUAAUUUUCUAUGUUUUUUUUUAUGAAUUGCUAUUAGUUGGUUAAUACUUUAUGCAAUAUGUAGGCUGGUUGGAUGAAUGCGUACCUGACAUUACGAUUUGACAAAUUCGAAGAUAAGGAAUGGCAUAGGAUAGUUGAGCCGAGGUUCACACAGGUUAAAUGUAAAGAUGACGAUAAUGGAUUGCGAAUGUUAUUGGCAAUUGAGGCGUUAGCUUUAGGUCAUGUGGGAUAUGGAAUAGACAAAGAUUUGAAUGCGGCAAAAUGGUCUUUGUUAGAUGGAAUUCGUAUGAUGACAACGUUUGACGAUUAAGAUGAUUUGAUAUAUAGCAUUUUGUAUAUUUGUUACUAGGGUAUUAUGAAUAGUUGUUUUGGAAUAUUGAUUGUCAUUGGAAAUGAUUUGUUAUUAUUUUUUGGAUGGACGCCCUCCGUUCACACAUCCCUGUUCCAUGAAAUAUGUACUAUGCACUAUGCACUAUUAACUAUGCACUACGUACUAUGCACUNNNNNNNNNNNNNNNNNNNNNNNNNNNNNNNNNNNNNNNNNNNNNNNNNNNNNNNNNNNNNNNNNNNNNNNNNNNNNNNNNNNNNNNNNNNNNNNNNNNNNNNNNNNNNNNNNNNNNNNNNNNNNNNNNNNNNNNNNNNNNNNNNNNNNNNNNNNNNNNNNNNNNNNNNNNNNNNNNNNNNNNNNNNNNNNNNNNNNNNNNNNNNNNNNNNNNNNNNNNNNNNNNNNNNNNNNNNNNNNNNNNNNNNNNNNNNNNNNNNNNNNNNNNNNNNNNNNNNNNNNNNNNNNNNNNNNNNNNNNNNNNNNNNNNNNNNNNNNNNNNNNNNNNNNNNNNNNNAUAGGGUUUGAGAAGGGGAUGAAGGAAGGGGAUGAAUGGUAGUGAGAGAAAAGGGAAAAAAAAGUGAGGAAGUAGGUGAAAAGUAGGAGAGAGAAGUAAAUGUGAAUGGUGGAAAAAUACCUUGGACAAAAGGAUGUACUAUGUUAAUAAUGACAAAAGAAUAUAAUGCAUUGGGAUCUUCCCCCCAAAAAAUAUAAAUAAUGAAAUUUAUUUAUGACCAUUGGAUGUAGAUGAAGGACUAGGAUUUAAAGUUCUCACCAGGUUCUCACAGAUCAGGUUCUUACCUGAAGCUGACCCUAUAUAUAUAUAUAUGACUACAAUCCAAAAUGAAUAUUAAACUCUAAAAUGUAUUACAAAAUUUUUAAAAAAAGUAAGUAUGAAAACGUAUGACUGAAUUAUGUAAGGAAGUUUUAUAAGAAAUACACAAAUUUAUAACAAUUAAACUAAGUAAAAUUUAUUAUUUUGAUUCACCAGUAUCUAUCUAUCUAUCUAUUUAUCUUAAUAGUGAUUUAUUUCAUAAUUUAAGAAAUAUUUAUUUUAGCUAAAGCCUAAACGCUAAAACACUAGAAGACAAAAAAAAAUUAAAACUAAUAAUUUCCUAAUUUAAAAACGGCAGACAUCUUCCUCUUUCACAGAUGGUCUGCAUUUUUAUAUGUAAACCAUCUUGCGACCUUAAGGUAUAACAGGAAGCUGAUUAAACCUAAGCCCCCGAGGAGAAAGAAGAAAUAAUGAAGCUUUCCUUCAUUGAGAUUAUCGGGGAUCCAUCCCGGCUGUCCAUUUCUGGUGGUUGCGUAAGUUACAAUGGUAACCAGAAGCGUACUGAGAUAACUACCAAGAGACAUGGUCGUGAGCGAAAGAGCCGAGCACAUGCUCCUCAUGGCAUCAGGUGCCUGGUCAUAGAAGAAUUCAAGUUGGCCGAUGGAGGUGAAAACCUCUGCUGCUCCGAUUAAGAAGUACUGCGGCACUUGCCAGAAGAUGGAGAUCGGCACGUACUCAGAAGAAUCGUAUAUAUUGAGUUCUUUCACCUUGUUAAGUCUUGUUCGUUCUAAGAAACCGGCACAUAACAUGGCCAAGAUGGAAAUGACGUGUCCGAUUCCCAUUCGGGUUAAUUGGGUGAAUCCACGCUGAUUUCCGGUGAAUUUGCGUGCAAUUGGGACGAUCAAACAAGCAUAGAUAGGGACCCAAAUGAUCACACUUAUGGUGUCGAAGAUUAAAAGUGAUGCUGAGGGGAUCGUGAAGCUGGCGAAAAUAUGAGGCUCGAGGGUGUUUCCUUGUAGAACAAACAUGGUGGACAUUUGACCGUAGACGGCGAAAAACACAAUACUACUGGCACAUAUGGGCAGGAGUCGGAUAAUAGACUUAACCUCCUCUAUCUGGGUCACAGUGCAAAUCCUCCAUGGACUCAUCGAAAAUUUAUCAUCCAAUAUUUGAACCGCUGCUUUAUCUAAGAAGCUGCAAAUUAUUUGAACCAACAUGCAUCAGAAUUAAUUAAUUCGAUCAAAAAACAAAUUUCAAAUGGAAUUCAAUGAUUACCUAAACUGAUCUGUAUGUUUGAGCUUCCUACUCCCUUCUAUGGCAGAUUUAUCCGAAAUCUCAUAGAGAAGAGCCUUAUUCUCAGGAACCUUCGUUCCAAACUUCCUAAAAGAAGCAACAAUAACUUGGGCAAUUCUAGUCAAAGGACUACCUCCUGGUUUUUGGAUCCGAUAAAGUUUAGUGCCGAAGAUGAAAUUAAAGAAAGCAACUAGCAUGGCUGCCGCUGGAAUACCAAAUCCCCAUGCCCAUCCGACGUUCAUCUGUACCCAAACCAGCAAAAUCGACGCGAUCAGAGCUCCUAUGUUUAUCACUAAGUAAAACCAGUUGAAGAAUGAGCUCUUGCUCUUCUUUUCAGAUUCAUCAUUUUCAUCAAAUUGAUCGGCGCCAAAGGAAGAAACACAUGGUUUGAUUCCACCAGUCCCAAGAGCGAUCAUAUAAAGUGCCACGAAGAAGAUCGUGGUUUGCAGAUUGGUAGGAUCACAUACAGCAUUGGAGCAAGAUGGUUUGAGUUCUCUAACAGAUGUUGACAUGCUUAGGAUAGACAGACCCUGCAUGAAACAUGAUUCCAUGAAUUUUGAAAUUUUCUAUUUAGGGAUUGUUCAAACUAAAAAUAACCGACAAAAUCAAUCGACAAAUUGCUCUCACCAGUAAAUGAAUAAGCAUGAAAAUAGCAAUCGUGUAGUAUCGACCAAGGAAGGAAUCUGCUACAAAUGCCCCAAACAGAGGCAUAACAUAGCAGGUUCCCGACCAAUUUGAAACAACAAUCGCAGCAGCGGCAUUUCCCAUGUUAAGAUGAGUGGUGAUAUAAUUUACAAGAUUCGUCGCCAUUCCAUUGUAAGCAAAUCUCUCGCAACACUCAUUUGCUUUAGAAGAAGAAAAAUAAAGAUUAGAUCAGAAAUAUCGGUUAAAGAUCGGAAUUAUUAUCGUACCGAUUAUGAAAGGGCAGGCUUUCCAGUUGCCUGUUUUUUUCCUGAUUGCAGGUCUUCCUUUGUAAUCUACUGUUUCAUCCUUUGUAAAGAUAUCUUCUUGGAUAUCACUCAUUCUUCUUCUUCUUUUUCUUUUUCUUUUUCUACAACAAUAACAAAGAGAUCAAUUUACCAGCAAAAACAAAACAAAUAAAUGUGAGUCUCCAAUUCCAAUUGCCAAUGUCGAUCGGAAUAAAAACCUAAUGAAGUAAUAAUUGCCCGAUGAAGGCAUUUAUAGACGAAAGGAGGAAAAAAAUGAGUGGUGUGGAAUUGAAGUGUUUCUUCAAUAUCUCCCAAAAUGCUCCGGUGGUACAGCUAAAACAUGACUAAGAUUUCUAUUUUUAUCAUAACCAAAAUUAUUUAAAUAGCUCAUCAAUUUAUAUAUUUAAAUGGGAUCUAUUUCUUGUAGGGAGUUGUUGGUCCAAGAUAGAGGUGGGUGUGGGUCCAGUCAAAUCCGAACCGAUGUUCGGGUGGAUAUUUUCGACCAUAAAACCAGAUAUUCGGACGGAUAAACGGGGGGAUGGACGGACGGACGAGCCCGACCGUACGAGCCCACGAGGCCCAAGGACAGCAAGUGAAGGCUAUAAAUACCUCCCCUGGUCCAACUGGGGAGGGGGUUGAUAAUUCUGAGAGAGAGAGACACUUGUACUAGGUUGGACGGUGAGCUAGCUCCGGCGAACUCUCACACCAACAGUGGUGAACCUGACGUGAAACAAACACACGACAGCCGGAGAGAGAAGGAUGACGAGGAGCGAAUACCAAGUAGGGGAGUGCUCAAAGCGACCCGAGCGGGCAGCGGUGGAGUACCAGCCGGCGCGACACCACUCCCGCGACCGGUAUUCGGAGGAGGUAAGGGCCAACUAGGAAUGGGGCGCCGAGGAGGAUAGGCUGCGCAUGGAGCUCGAGGAGAUCAGGUACGGGUGGGAGUCACCCAGAAGGCGCCGGCGCAGUGAACCGGCAUCCCCACCCAAGGUCAGGAGAACGCGGUCCCGGUCGCGGUCCCGGGAGAGAAGGGAAAAGGAGCACGAGAGGCUCCGGCGAAGGGAGCGCGCGGAGGAGAAAGAGCGCGCGGAAAGAGAGAGCAAGCGGGAAAGGAUGCAGCUCGUGGAAUUGAUAUCCACCCUACAGGAGAGCCAGCGUCAGCUACAAGAGCAGGUGCACCAGCUCACGGUUACCCCACACACUCUGGAGUCGGACGGGGGCGGACGGGGGCGGAGGAGGAGAUCCCAUGUACGGGCCGCCCACCCCCCCGGACGGGAGACCCGGGAGCGACGCCCCACCCGUGGAGGACCCGCGAACCAUUGUGGCAACGGCGCCGGGGGGGGCAGCGGAGAGGCCCUAGCGCAGCACCUGCUGGACGAGGAGUACCCGCCAGGCUGGAGAGCCCCGAAGAUCCCUUAUUACAAGGGCGACACAGACCUAGAGGACCACCUGCACUCUUUCAAGACCAACAUGGAGGACAGGACGAACAGAAAGGACGUCUGGUGUCGAAUGUUCCGAAGGGCCCUGACGGGCGACGUAAUAGCCUGGUACAGGACUCUGCCGACAGGGUCCGUGCACACCUACGAAGGCUUAGUGGCGGUGUUCUGGGCGGCUUUCGCACACCGUCGAAGAAGGCCGAAAAUCAAGGCCGCCCUCAGUACCGUCAUACAGGGAGAAUCAGAGAGCACGCGCACUUACAUGGACCGGUUCGCGAGCGAGGUGCAGAAGAUUGAGGGGAUCUCAGAGGAGGUGGUGUUGUACGCCCUAACGAACAGCCUCCGGCCCACUUUCUUUGCGGGAGACUUAAUGAGGAAGCCGCCAAAAACCUUCGCCGAGGCCAUAGAGAGAUCCCACGGAGAGAGCAACGUGGAGGAUUACCUUGGCGCUAAGAUCCAGGAGUACAGGCGGCAGCAGAGGGGGAAGGGCACCCCCGCAGGCACGGGGGGAGGGCAGCAGCAGAACCAACCUCAGCCCCAACAACUGCAAGCCAAGCCCCCAGCGGCACCACAGGCGCCGGCGUACAGAACCGGCACCCCGGCAACAACGGGGCGGAGGGAAGUGGGCCCCGCCCCGGCGGCGAACCAAAGACAGGUCUUCCUAACGUUGAGCGGGACAGGAACCCUACCCCUGCCGAGGCCAAUGAGAAAAGACACGGCGGCGUUCAGGGACACCCGCCGGUUUUGCGAGUACCACGAGGACAACGGCCACACGACGNNNNNNNNNNNNNNNNNNNNNNNNNNNNNNNNNNNNNNNNNNNNNNNNNNNNNNNNNNNNNNNNNNNNNNNNNNNNNNNNNNNNNNNNNNNNNNNNNNNNCAGCAAAAUGAAACCCGCAAACGGAGCCCCCCCAGCCCCGACGACAAGCCGUCCGACGGUAACACCCACGGGACACCAGGCGCCGAAGCAGGAGCCGGCGGACGAAGCCAUAGGGGACAUCCUCACCAUCGCGGGGGGAGGAGCCUCGAGGGGCGACGACCCAUGGGAGGGACGGCGGUACGCGUCCGACGUGGACCGGACAACAGGAGCCAAACGCCCGCGAAUAAAUUUGGAAAUCUCGUUCACGGAGGACGACAUGAAGGACAUCACCACACCCCACGAUGAUCCCCUAGUCAUAACCCCCAUCUUCCAAAGGGGAGACAAGUCCAGCGUGCGACUGCACAGGGUCCUGGUGGACACGGGGGCGUCGGUGGACAUACUGUACUGGAACGCUUUCGUCGACCUCGGCCUAGCCCGCGCGGACCUACUUCCGUGCCGGGCUCCCAUCAGAGGAUUCGGCCAGUCAGAAGUUCCAGUAGCGGGAACGUUUUCCAUCCCGGUCACCCUAAGACGGCAUGCCCAAGCUAGGACGGUCGAGGUCAUGUUCACGGUCGUGAACUUCACAUCGGGAUACAACGCCAUCCUGGGAAGGACGGCGCUGCACGCUUUCCAAGCAGUAAUGUCGUCGCUCCAUCAGUGCCUCAAGUUCCCAACCGAGGCAGGGGUGUGCACGGUCCGGGGGUCCCAGAAGAAGGCGCGCGAGUGCUACUUCAAUUCAGUCGGCGAAGUAAUGACGUCGGACGAAGGCCUACCCCACUCGAUGCGGGAACACAUGGCAAGACCCGAACCGGCAUCCCACACGACCCAAGUGGCCCUCGGUCGGAAUGAAGUACGAAUGGGAAAGAACCUCCCGCAGAGUAUAGAGAGGGUUUAGAGCAACUCCUGAGGAAGAAUGGGGACCUGUUCGCUAGCGAGUUGGGGGAGUUGAGCGGCGUGCCUAGGACGCUGGCGGAGCACAAACUGGCGGUAGCCCCGGGCGCCCACCCCAUCAGGCAAAAAUUACGCCCGCUAAGGGCGGAAAAAAGGGAGGCGUCCGAACUAGAGGUCAAGAGGCUCCUCCAAGCGGGCUUCAUUCGCCCAGUACGCUACCCCGCCUGGCUGUCCAACGUGGUGAUGGUAAGGAAAGCAGACUCGGGGUGGAGGAUGUGCGUCGACUUCACCAACCUGAACAAAACGUGCCCCAAGGACAGCUACCCACUGCCGUCGGUGGACCGGCUGGUCGACCAGAGCUCCGGGUGCGGGAUGCUGAGUUUCAUGGACGCACACUCGGGGUACAACCAAGUGCCCAUGGCACGGGAGGACGAGGAGAAGACGUCGUUCAUCACGGAGAUGGGCACGUUUUGCUUCAGAGUGAUGCCGUUCGGCCUGCGCAACGCCGGGGCGACGUUCCAGAGGCUAAUGGAUAAGAUAUUCAAGGCGCAGAUAGGUAGGAACGUGGAGGUGUACGUGGACGACAUACUCGUCCGAUCGAAGGAGGCCGAAACGCACUUGGCCGAUUUAGAAGAAACCUUCGCCAGCAUCCGAAGUGCAGGGCUUAAGCUAAAAGCCAAAAAGUGCGCGUUCGGAGUCAAGGAGGGGCAUUUCCUGGGUUUCCGAAUUACACCCGAAGGAAUCAAGCCAAGAGAAGAGAAGGUGGAGGCCGUGAUGGCUAUGAACCCCCCGCUGACGCUGAAGGAGGUCCAGAAGCUGAAUGGAAGGGUGGCGGCGCUGAGCAGAUUUCUGCCAAGGACGGCAGAUCGUUUGAAACCUUUCUUCCAGUUGUUAAGGAACCCGGGAUCCAGGGUGGUAUGGUCAGACGAAUGCGAGACGGCGUUCAGAGAACUCAAGCGUCAGCUCUCGAGCCUGCCGACGCUCCGCCCACCAACAAGGGGAGAACCACUCACCAUGUACGUAGCAUGCUCGGGGGCGGCCGUCAGCGCAGUCCUGAUCUCGGAAACGGGAGGCACACAAAGGCCAGUAUACUACCAUUCCCGGUCAUUGGUAGGAGCGGAGGAGAGAUACCCGGAAAUCGAGAAACUAGCCCUGGCGGUGGUCUCGGCAGUCCGAAGGCUUACAUCGUACUUUCACGCCCACACUGUCACGAUCCCAACCGCUUACCCACUACUGCAACUGCUGCAGAAGCCGGACGUCUCGGGAAGACUAACCAAGUGGGCCAUGGAACUUAGCGAAUUCCAUCUGGUAAUCGCGCCGGCAAGGGCAAUUAAGGGACAGGCGGUGGCGGACUUCAUGGCUGAAUUGGCCCCAAGGGAAGGCGAGAAGGCAGACGAACAGUGGUGGACGGCCCACGUAGACGGGUCGUCCAGCAGUAGUGGAUGCGGCGCAGGAGUCGUGGUCGCAUCCCCGACAGGAGAGAAAAUCGAGUAUUCGAUCCAUUUCGAAUUCCGAGCGACCAACAACGCAGCAGAGUACGAAGCCCUCCUCUCGGGGAUCAGACUAACUCGCGCGCUAGGCGCAUCCAAGGUGCACUUCCACACGGACUCCCGGCUCGUAGCCAACCAAGUCAGGGGAGACUUCGUGUCCAAGGAAGACUCAAUGGCGAGCUAUGUGGCCGAGACGAGAGCGGCCUUGGGCAAGCUCAAAGAAUGGAGGAUCUCCCAAAUAGGGAGAGAAUACAAUGGGGAGGCCGACACGCUGGCCAAACUGGGAGCGUCCCCAGGAAAGACGGAGGGAAGGUGGAUCCGGAUCGAGAACCAAGAACGACCAACGACGACCAGCAACCACGGGUCGGCCAGAGCUUGCGGGGUGAUUACGUCAGGGGACUAGAGAACGCCGAUCACGAGGUUCAUCAUGGCAGGCGAAGCGCCAACAGACCCAAUGGAGGCCAGAAAGCUAAGGAAUAGAGCGGCCUGGUUUGUAGUGGCCCAGGACAAACUGUACCGACGGUCGGCGGCGGAAGAGGCNNNNNNNNNNNNNNNNNNNNNNNNNNNNNNNNNNNNNNNNNNNNNNNNNNNNNNNNNNNNNNNNNNNNNNNNNNNNNNNNNNNNNNNNNNNNNNNNNNNNUGCGUCCCACGUGAGGAUGGUAAGGCCAUCGCACGAAGCCUACACGAAGGGGCGAACGGAGCACACCAAGGCGGCAGAGCGCUGGAGAAGCAAGUAGCCAGGCAAGGGUACUACUGGCCCGAGUCGAUAAAGGACUCAGAGGAGAUUGUCGGUCGAUGCGACGUGUGUCAGAGGCAUUCGAACGUCCAUAGACGACCGUCCACCAUGAUGAAGGCCGUAACGACACCAGUGCCAUUCGCAAGAUGGGGAAUCGACAUAGUAGGGCCGUUCCCACCCGCAUCAAGAGGAAGGAAGUUCCUGUUCGUAGCGGUCGACUACUUCACAAAGUGGGCCGAAGCGAAGGCUACGAAUACGAUCAGCGAACAGAAUGUGCUGAACUUUGUCUUCAGAAACAUCAUCUGCCGGUUUGGGGUCCCGAUCCAGAUAAUAACGGACAACGGGACGCAGUUCACGGGAAAGAAUUUAAGAGAAUUCUGCGAGGAUAGCGGGAUCAAGUUAAGCUUCGCACCGGUCUACCACCCGCAGGCAAACGGACAGGUAGAAGUGACGAACCGGACGAUAACAUCGAUCCUGAAAAGGAAGGUGGGUGAACACCCGGGAAACUGGGCGGACCUAGUCCCGGAAACCAUGUGGGCGUAUCGCACGACCAUCCGGACGCCCACGGGCCAGACCCCCUUCGCCCUCCCAUUCGGGAUGGAAGCCGUAGCACCAGCCGAGCUGGUGUGGCCAACCGCGCGCAUCGAGCAGUUCCAGCCGGGCACGAACGACCAGACGAUGUUUUUAGAAAGGGAGCAUCUAGAGAGCCGGAGAGAGGAGGCGUCCAUUAGGGACCUCACUUACAAACGAAGGGUAGCAAGGUACCACAACGAAAGAGUGGCCGACAAGAAUUUAGCACCAGGGGACUUGGUGUUGAGAAACGCCAAGGUAACGGGAGUCGACCAGACAAGGGGAAAUUAUCAGCAAAAUGGGAGGGUCCGUACGUCAUCACGGACGAGAUUCAGCCGGGCAUCUUUCGCUUGGGGUACGAGGACGGGCAGGAGAUAGAAAGGACGUGGCAUGCCGACAACUUGGAGAAGUACAGACGGUAGAACGGAACGCGCGCGAGACAGCCUCCCCUAUUGUACCUUGUUUAACGUCGGGCGCCCCCAGACCACGGCACGUGAUGCCCAAUAAAAAGCACCCGGAGUGCAUCCAUUAAAAGAACAUUAAUGAAAAGAAAACGGGGAAGCCCGCCGAAAAGGCCAACGGAAGGGUCUUGAGGUCGGACGACGACAUGAGACAAUCCGCACGGCCCAGGCCGUUUCCCUGAGCAAACGAAAGCCGGAGAAGCCCGCUGAAAAGGCCGGCGGAGAAGUCUCAAAGUCGGACGACCACACGAGAUAAUCCGUACGGCCCAGGCCGUUUCCCCGAGCAAACGCAAAUCGGAGAAGCCCGCCGAAAAGGCCAACGGAAGGUCCCCGGGGCCGAAAGGCCACACGGGAACGUCCGAAGGGCCCAGGCCGCUUCUCUAAGACAAGUAAAAUGAUUGAAGGAAGAGGAAGAGCGAAAGUGAAAGUUAAGCAGGGGAACGAAAGCUAAAGGAAGAAGGAACGACCGAUGGUCAAGCAAAAAGCGAGAGAAAACAAGCAAGUAAGAAAGCAGGAAAAAAGUUAAGUAUUAUUACAAUAAAGGGAUAAUUGUUCUUCCCGUACGAAAAAAGGAAAAAAACAUUCGCUACGGCCGACUAGUCAAGGGGAGGGUCCACGUAGUCAGGGAAUUCAGCCUCAAGAUCUUGCUUCUCGCUAUCGCUCACAUCUACGGGAGGCUGAUAGGUGGGAACGCCCGUCUCUUCCCAGCCGACCCACUCGUUACGGCUCCGGGGCACGACGGCGUGCGACAGGGGCGGGUUGGAUCGGGUAGUCUUGGGUUGGCGCGACGAAACAUCGAUCGUAACCUAGUGGAUGAUCUUCCCACUAACCAUGGAGUGUGGAAGAGAGAGUUUGUGUUUGUCAAUUCUGAGUUUCUUCCCGGGAGUCGGGAAGUUUGGGCUGACCCGAAUUGCGCGAAUCUGAGCGUGAAUCUGGGUUUGAUGGCGGAUGAUGUGAUUGCCGUCACCACGAUUACCCAGGCCCUGAAAGCUCACCACCUUCCCCGUGGCGUGCCAUUUGUCCUCUGUCAACGUGAUGAUUUUACUUUCGAGGAUGUUGUGGAGGUUCAGAAACCUCCUACGGAUGAAGAGACAACAAGCGCAAAGAAGCGAACGCUUCUAUAUUUUGAUGUUGUCGCUCCAUACAUGACCGAGAGAUAUCGACGUGCAAAGUUGAUUAGACUGGAGAAGAAAGCCAAAGCUCCCAAGGCCCCGAGUACGUUUGAGAGGGGCUCGAGCUCUCAAGCCGCACCUGAGCGGGCUGGUUUCGCACCUUACACGAGUGGCAUAUCCCUUCCUGACUUUAUGGCUGAUCCACAAGUCAGGUCGGAUGCUAUGUCCAUCUUGAUGUUGAAAUCCGGGAGUUGGGUUCGGACUGAGCUCAUGAUAGCUUUGAAUGUUGUAAGUGCUUUUACUUUCCGAACACUUUUUUUUUUUUUGCUAACUUGUUUUUUGGUGUAGGCUUGCUACAUGGCCCAUGCUUGUUUUGGCAUGGAUUCGAUAAAUGACGUCCAGAGAAUUCAGGAUCGAUAUAACGAACUGGACGCCAAGUAUAAGACUAGCGAGAAGCAACUGGGCAAGCUGGCCCACGCUCAAAGAAAAUUUGAGAAUCUUAGAGACAACGUCAUCCCGAAGAAGGAGAAGACGAUUGAGUCCCAAAAGAAGGAAAUCGACGAUUAUGUUUCGCAGAUUUUGGGACUCCGUAAAGAACGGAAGAGUGUCUCUAAGGAGAUGCAGAGCAUGCGGGCCCAGCUGGAUACCGAGAUUGGAAAUGUGGUUUUAUCUGAAGCCGCAAAUGCGGAUCUGAGGAUCACUAACUCUGAGUUGGAGAGGAAGUGCAAUGAGCUGAAUGACCAACUUACUCGCUCUAAGGAGGAGUUGGAAGGUGUGAAGAAGGAGAACUCCGUGUUGAAGAAGGAGAACUCUGUACUUCUGGAGAAGGCUAAGGACUUGGAGUUGGAUAAGAAGUAUCAAUCUGAUCAACUCCAAGAACUUAGCUUCUUUGGUACCUCAGUGUUCCCAUCACUACCCGAAGACUUUAUCUCGGAUAUCAUGACAUGGGUAGAUGAGCAUCCCGAAGAGAAAGAAAAAAACAAGGAUGCUCUUGACAAGCUAAAGAACGACGAAGAAGACUAGAUUUUUUAUUUUCUUUUUAGCUUGUAACUUUAGAGGUUUUUAGAAUAUUUUGUAAUCUUUUGGAACAUUAUUAAUGAAUCGCUUUACUUUUUUAAUUAAUUGUUUAUUUACUUAAUUUCUCUGAAUUGUAACUAAGACCCGAAACUAGAUUCGCGAGUCGUAAUUUAGCCGCUCUGGACGUAAAUUAGACUAACCCUAUCGCUAGCCACUCUUUGCGUAGACUUGGCCGUGCGAAUCGUAGCUCAGUCUAUGAUUAAAUUUGCGAAAUGAAUUAAACUUCACAAUUAACAAAAACUUGCAGUGUCGAUCAAAAUAAUGAGUUGAAAACAAAAUAUCGAAGAAAAGAAUCAGAAGAUAAAAAUAUCGAAAUAAUGAUACAAUUUAGACCUUAAAAUUCUAGGAUUAUUUUCUAGAUUCCUUCCUAUGUAGUUCAACUCCGGCUGAAGCGACGGAGCAACUUUUGACCCACAUCAAGGUCGUAACGACGAGAUGGGGUGAAAUCGUUAGGGCUUUAGCGACAAAACGAUUAUUAAUCUAUUAAGGCCAUAACGACAUAAUAGAUUCUGGUCAGUGUGGUGGGCACUUAGAACCUUUUGUGGUCAGGUUCACUUGUACCUAUCAUCUACCUAGGACUCUAUUUCUAGACCCUAAUGCGUGGUUGAACUCUGGCCGUAGCGACAGAGUAACUUUUUUGGACCCACAUCUAGGCUGAAGGGGUUAAAUCGUAAUGUGUCAAAACGAUUUUAAUCUAUCGAGUUCGCCGUUCGAGAUCAAUUGCUCGACAUAAAGCGAGAACUCCCUGUAAUAGUCCGUCAGAUGGCCAUGGUCCUUGUGGAAUUUACAGAAUCUUCCACCUUUUUGACGGCUAUCCUUGGUUGCAGGGUCCAUAGAGCGAGAAGCGGGUAGAUCCGCUCUGUUCUUCAGUUUUUCAAACAGCUCGCCUUUGCUGAUUGUUAGUGGGGUCCGAUCCUUCCAUGGUUGAGGUGGACCCCUUGGCGACUGUUUGGUGGAUGUUUGAUACACCUUGUUAUCGCGUUUAGGCUUCCAUUCCUUUCUGAAGGAAUCAACAGCAUCGCCAGUGUAUCUGUUUGAGGAGUCAUUGUAGCUCUUCUUCUCGAACUUUUGUUUUUUGAAGCUAGUGUUCUCAAGUUCCACUAGCUUGUUUUCAUUCUGCUCUUCCACCUCAAUGAAUGAUUGAGCUCGUUGGAAGAAGUCAGGUAAAGUCUCCACUUUAUGGAGCGUAAGAUUUUGGGCCAGAGGGGAGUAGGGUACUAGCCCAUUUGUGUACCCCGCAAUGGCCAGACUCGGGAUUAAGUCGCUCACUUCUGUCAUCAUUGAAGUGAACUUAAUCGUGUAAUCCCUCAGAGACAGUUUGUCCUGUCGCAGUGCCAACAGUGCAUUGGCACUGUGUUUGAUCCUAAUUAUCCCCACAUGUUGGGCGACGAAUUUGGACGCGAGGUCUGCAAAGCUGGAGAUUGAUCAAGCUGGCAGACCGAAAAACCACCGAUAGGCAUUACCCUUGAGAGUGUCGGGGAAUGCUCGACACAGCAGUGCGUUGUCAGUGGUUUGCGGCUCCAGAACAUUGAGGUAGAGGUUGACGUGAUCUUUUGGAUCACCCGAACCAUCGUACGACUCUAUUCUGGGUACCCGCCAGGUUGGUGGAAAGGCCACCUUCAAAAGGUCCUCUUGGAAAGGAGCGCUUUGACUCUUAGGAACUCGAUCGGACUGCUGAUGAAUAGAUUGUCGGCCAGCUUCCGACGGAGGUCCUCCACCAAUCGUGUUGUAAGAGUCCUCUCAGUGCGACUCUUACUGGGUCCAACUCUUGAUUUUUCUGGUUCUGGACCUUUCUUUUUCUCCGCAGUCGAAGAAUUGUGAGAAGCUGAUUCACCCGCUUUUUCGUUUCUUGAGGUUGCUAACUCUUCUUUCCAUGUUAUCCAUGAAGUUCAUCAACCUCGCUUCUAGAGCGGGAGAGAUGGAUGUCCGAGGGGGCAGAUCAGUUUGAGCAUCCUCGAACCUCUCAACUUGUAUGUUUGGCUGAGGAUGCUCAGUGUGUGCCCCAUCGGGUGCCACUGAGGAUUUACUUUUGUUCCUCAGAUGGUAAUCGUGCUUUUGUCUUUCAGAUGCCAUAGAUGACAAAAGUGAAUUCCAACCGAAGCACAGGUAUUGAUCGAGCUAACUCGAAAGAAACCAAGUGAAGUCGGCGACUCAGCAGGUGGAGUCGGCGACUGACCUUUGGUUUUUUGACUUUCGAGCUGAAUCGAGGCUCGAGAGAAAAAACCAAGUGGAGUCGACGAUUCAUAAGGUGGAGUCGGCUAUUCACAAGGUGGAGUCGGCGACACACGAUGGUGGAAUCGGGGACUACUUUAGGUAACUUUUCUUUCGAGUCUGGCCAUGGACAACACUCUUAGCUAGCAGAAUAACCCGCAAUCGGAGACUCACUAGGUGGAGUCGGCGAUUGCCUGUGUGUAUCAGAGAUUCCUUAACACAAAGUAGCGACUCACCCAAGGGAAUCGAGCUGAACUUUGCGAAGAAAAUUUCGCGAUUACGACGGGAUAUCGUGGUUCAAUAGUCCCACAGACGGUGCCAGCUGAUGAAGCACGAAAUCUGCUACUAGUAGGCUCGCGGGGUUGCGAGGAGGACCGGAGGCUUUGGAGUCCACGACGCGCGUUCUACGUCAAUGUACCUGCAGAAGUGGAGGAGAAUCGACGACUCUCUUGGGAGUAGGCGAUUCGGGCUCCUUGGAUUGCUCUGGUGUGGUGUGGUCAAGCGGGAAUGACUUGAGAGUAGAGGACCCCCAAUGACCCCUUUUAUAGGGUCCUGUGGGACGUUUCCCCAUUCAUUAGCGUGGGGCCCACUCCAUUAUGGUGCCCAAUUAAGGGUGCCAUAAUAACAUGGGUCCUCCCAAGUAACGGUUGGGAAUCGGCGACUCAGGUAUGAGAGUCGCUGAUUCAGAGGUGCGGUCGCCGACUCCCCAUGAGACAAGUUUGUAGUCUACCAGAACUGACCACGAGGCCUAUAGUCGACGAUUCACCCUUGGAGUCGGCGACUAGGUAGUCCCAGUCGGCGAUUCCCAGGUGUUGCCUUGAGUACUUGACGUAGACAUUUCCUCCACAUUUGUGGAACUCUCCGGGUGUCCGGCAUAAAGCAACGGAACCCUAGUCCUUGUUGAAGGGCGUUGCUGGGAAUGACUGGCGUAAUCAGGCAUGUCUCACCAUGUGUUGGAGGGGAAUUGUUUAUUAAUGAGGAUCCCCCAAGGGCCCCUUUUAUAGGGUCUUUGGGGCGUUUCUCAUUCAUUAUCCGUAGGGCCCACGCUAUUAUGGUGCCCUAUUAAAGGUGCCAUAAUGGCGUGGGCCAAGUCAAGUAACGGCUGGGAGUCGACGACUCAGGGUGAAGCCAUCGAUUCCCCAUGAGCCAGGUUGGCAGCCUACCAGAACUGACCAACGAGGCCUGAAAUCGGUGGCUCACCUCUAGAGUCGGCGACUUGGUAGUCCCAGUCGUCUAUUCCCAGUGUUGACUUGAGUACUUGACGUAGACACUUGCCCGCAACCGUGGAUCUCUCCGAGGGUCCGACAUAAAGCGACGGAACCCUAGCCCUUGUUGAAGGACAUUGUUGGGAGUGACUGACGUAAUCAGGCAUGUCUCACCAGCGUGGCAUACGAGACGCGAUAAAGGAAGUUAGAUGGGCGACCGAACAAGCCUGUUACUGCUAGGCCGAUUACGCCCUAAGGCAGAAGUUAUAAAUACCUCCCAUAGUGCAACGGGGAGGGGGAUCGAUUACCUGAAACAGUAAUACUAGAGAGUUGUGUGUGUGAGAACCCGAGGGAAAACCCACACACCAUCACCAACCAUUUCCAAGAAGAAGAAGACACACACAAGAGAGAUUUAGGCUUAUGAACGAGUGAUUCAUUAGCUUUUAUUUUGGGAUGUUUAUAUACACUUGUUUUAACAAACCCCAUAACAAAUGUGAGUGGGGUUUGUUACUUUAAUAACAAAUUACAAGAUUAUAUAUAUUUAUAUAUCCAAUAUGCCUCCUCAAGUUGAUGUUUGUGCACAAACACCUAACUUGGAUUUGAAAUCAAUAAACCUUGACGACGGAAGUGGCUUUGUGAAGCAAUCCGUAAUUUGAUCCUUGGUUGAUACAUGUGUCAUUACAAGAAAACAGAUCUUUAGGGUGGGAUUUAGCGACGGAUUCUGACCGUCGCUAAAUCUGAAAAAGGAUUUCAUGAAAAUUCCACGAUGCUAGCGACGGCUUAAUUAUAAUUUUUCGUUAAUGGUUGGCGACGGCUUGUUAAAUCUGUAGACACUGUAAUUCCUUUACGGCUCUCCGGUGAACCGUCGCCACUUUUGAAAAUUAGGGACGGUUUUUUAGUAGGCCGUCGUCCCUAAAUAUCUUGAUAAUUUUAUUCGGAAAAUAAUUAGGGACGGCUUAUGAAAAAGCCGUCUGGAAAAGCAUAAAUUAAAGACGGCCUAUAAAAAAGUCGUCUCUAAAUAGGUAAUUUUUAUUUUACCUUAGAUAUUUUUUAAAAUAAAAGUUGAUAAUUUCUAUUAAAUAAAAUAUUAAAGUUGGUAAUCUAAAGGUAAAAAAUAUAAAAUACCCAUUGUUAAACCCAAACCUCUAAAUUAAACCCACCCAAAAUCCCACAUCGUCUUUUCUUCCAACAUCGCGAUUUCCUAACCCAACGACAUUCCUCCGGUGAUUUCCCAACCCUCCAGCGACGUUCCUCCGGUGAUUUCCCAACCCUUCAGCAACGUUUCUCUGGUGAUUUCCCAACCCUCCAGCAACGCAGCGAGGAGUUCCUCCGGUGAAUUCCCAACCCUCCAGCGACGUUUUUCCGGUGAUUUCCCAACCCUCCAGCGACGCGGCGAGGAGUUCCACCGGUGGCAGCAGCAACGUUCCUCUGGUGAGAAUUCGAACAGGUAGCUCAAAUGUUUUGUUAAUUUAUCUAUUUUGGAUCGAGAUUCUUCGAUGCGUUGGAUCAAUGAUUUGGUAUUUUGUCAUUCUUUGUGUUUGAUCUCACGACUAGGGAUGUGGAUUUAAAAUAAAUUAACAGAAAACAUAAAAUAUCGUAUUUUAAUUUGAUUUCAAGACGUGUGAUUUUUUAAAAUUGAAUUAUACUUCUUAAAAUGUUGGUUGACGAUGAACAUUUCUUUUCUGUUUUUCUAUGUUUAAAAAAAUUAUUAUUAUUAUUUGGAGAAUUAGAAUUGUAGAAGGUAGAAGAAAAUGCACAUUAAUACUAGAACAUUGUUUUUUACGAUUUGAACUUCUCAUUCAUUCUAGGCUGUAGUAUAUAUUAAAGUACACUUGAUGUUUUUUGGUCCAUAUAUAAUAUAUAUGCAAACAUAUUUUGAAUGUAAACUGUAAAGUAUUCAAAGGGGAAAAAAAUAGUGUCAUUUGAGUCAAAGUAGAUACCGACUUAUUCACAGACUUAUUCACAUUUCCACCGACAAACAAACAUGAAUACAUGAUGUUUCAUGUAAUGUUUGAUUUCAUUAGUAUAAUCUUCAUAUAAAAAAAUCUCAAUUGAAUUGCAUCAAGGUAUUUUUCAAUGAUAGUACAUCAGUUGAAUCGAGUACAGGACAAAAUUCAGAUAAAGUAAACCUUGAUUUUAUUUUAUUUGAAAUAAAAUACUCCAAUCUUGAAAUAUCAUAAGAAGCUUUUCCUCUUUUUAUAUAAAUUUUUCCCUCUUGACCACAUGUAUUUCUUCUGUUUUUCUUUUCUUCUGUUUUUCUCAACUGUGAGAUCUCGUAAGAACUAAUUGAAAUUUAAAUUUCAUGAACUUCUCGUUAUAUAGUAUUUGCUGUUUAAAUUUCUCCGCGAAAAAUUUGUAUCUGAGUAUGCUUCCAUUGUAUGUUAAAAUUUUAAGGAUUGUCGUUUGUAUUCAUCUUCAUUUGUAUGUUGUUGAUAUAUGUUUAUUUGCAGGUUUAAUUUUAUGUUAUAUAUGUUUAAAUUAUCAUUAAAAGUAAAAUGGUAAUGGCAAAAUUUUAAAAAAUUGAAACAAUUAAUUCUAACUGUAAUUUAAUAUAGUUUAUUCCAAACUCACAGGUGUUGGUGUUAAAGAAGGGUUUCUUCCAAAGAUUUAUUCCAAACUCAAAGGUGUAUUUGAAACUUCACAAAAAAAUCGAAGUACGUAAUUUCUGAUUUUAAUUAUCAUUUUAGUUUAUUAAUCUAAUUUUUUUAAAUGCAUUACUUAAUUAUUGUUUAGUUAAUUUUAAUUAUCAUUUUAGUAUAGUAAUUUCAAGCGACGAUGAAGUCGGCGAAAACAGCGAUGGGAUGAGUGUGAAUGAUAACUAUAGUUAGUCGAAUAAUAGUUUAGUAAACUUAUGUGAAAUUUAUGUUUUGGUAAUAUCUUCAUUGAAUGAAAUUAUGUAAAAUGUUUUUAUUAUAUAUUGAAUGAAAUUCUCUAUUUAGGUUGGCUAAAUUAUAAUGGAAUUGAAAUUACAAUAAGGUUAUGGCAAAAUUUAAAUUGUCAUUAAUUAGAAUUAUGUCGUUUACGUACAUUUAAAAACUAAACACGUAUUUUUUAUCUGUUUUGUAGAGUGAUCGAUGACGAUCGAUGUUGGAUGUACAAGAGAUUAGAUAAUAAGAGACAGAUCACUGACUCAUUUGUUGAGGGUGUCCGUGAAUUUUUGAAUUUUGCCUUCAUCUAUUCUAGCUCCAUUGGUGAAAGAGGACAAAUUAAAUGUCCUUGUGGUCAAUGUUGUUGCUUGAGUAAGCAAGAUCAAGAUAUGAUGAGAGUUCAUCUUUACAUAUUCGGUUUCAUGCGUGGCUACACGAAUUGGGAUAAACAUGGUGAACCAAAAAAGAAACCACGUGUUGAAAUUUGCAUCACCACUCAUGAUGUUGACAUGACCGAGAAUAUUAAUCCAUUUGUUGACAUGAUCUACGAUGCAAGUAGACCAAUUGAUUUGCAUGAUGAUGAACCGAAUGUUGAAGCUCAAAAAUUUUACGAUCUUCUAUUUUAUCUUCAUUCUCCUCGCCGUUGUCGUCGUCGGAUCCAUCGACACAUUUACGUCUUCGACUAAGAAUUAUUUGAUGUUUUAUCUUAUUUAAGAUUUUAAGAAUUAUUUGAUCAAAUUAUUUAAAUAAUAGGGUUUUUAAUGCAAAAUUUUAAAAAAACUAUCAAACCAGAACCCGACCAAACUCGAAAUCCAAAUCGGAUUCGGGUUUUAUAAUUUUAGAUGUUUUCAGGUUUUGACCAAAAUCUGAUUUCAAAACUAUGAUUCUGAUUAGGGAAAACAUGAGCCAAACCCGACCCAUAUCUAUUCCUAGUAAGAGAUUUUCUUAUUUUUUUAAUUAAUUUUUGUAAAUUUUUAAUAACUUUACUUGUGAUUAAUAUACACACCUCUUGCUUCGGCACUCAAAAAUACAUACGGAUUUUUGUGUCCAAAAUACCCUCGUUAUUAAUUUAAUUUUGUUUUUAAUGCCAUUGGAUAUUUUUGAUAGAAUAGCAAUCUUCAAAGAAAAGCUUUAUUCUAUAACAAUCCAUUCACUAAACAUUCAACUUAAACUUUAAACCUAAUUUAUCAAACUAUUUAUAUAAUUCUUAGUUUGGUUAAAUUACAAUUACAUCCAUAUAUUGUAUUAUAUUAUCUAUAUGAUAUGUAUACUUAAUAUUCCCCCUCAAAUCCAGCAUUUUGAAUUGAGAUUUCUUAUAAAGAAUCUUGAUUUGUAAAACCCAGCAACUACUAAUAGCAGUAUCAAUAGUCUUCAGCUUUCAAGUUUAUUUGAGUUGUGCUUUUGUUCAUAAGUGAAAUUAAUUCCCUGACACAAUAUAUGGGAUAAAAAACCAAUUGGUUGUUUUUAAUAUGGGAAAACCCUCUUAUCAUCUCAACGAAUUCUUUCCAGAACUUUGCAUAAACUCUCAUAUCUUGUGACAAAUUUCACGUCAUCAGCAAUUGUACCAUCUAGAGAAUGGAAUAGAUCAAUCCAUGCUACUCUUAGCUCCUAAUUAUCCUGCUUAUCUCCAUCUUUAUCACUGUAAAAACAAAACAAAAAACCUGCACAAACAUACACUCACAAGAACAAGCGAAAAGUAUAGAAGAUAUUUAUAUCAAAUAUAUGGAGUGUUAAGAGCUUGAUUAUAUAUUCCCAAAUGUAAUAUUCAUAUCAGCAGAAUCAAUAGUAUUCAGAUGAAAUAUAAAUAUUUGUAUCAAUCAAUUCAGAUGACAUAUACACACAAGAAUUUAAUUUCAAAAUAGGGUAACAAUAAAACUAAACAUAAAAAUAAACAAUAGUAAAUCAUAUAGUAUGUUGUAAAGCAAUUACUAGUUUAUCUCUAAACUUUGAGAAGAGUGAAGUUCCCAAAGUUUUGGUCAGAACAUCUGCUAAUUGUUCUGUUGUUGGGAUAUAUUUAACUAGCAAUUGUUUUUCCCUCACUCUUUCUCUAACAAAGUUGAAGUCCACUCCUAUGUGUUUUGUCCUUAAGUGAUAUACUCACUACAAAAAAAAGUAGGCAGUUAGGACGAGCAAAGUUAACGGAAUUUCCGUUACAAAUACUAUUUUUAACGAAAAUUUCGUUAACUUUGGUCCGAGACAAAAUUUCCGUUAAAAAUACCAAAAUCCGUUACAAAAAUCCGUUACAAAUACUCUGAAGUUAAAGUUAACGGAAAGAAAAAUCCGUUACAAAAUUUUUAGGUAUUUGUAACGGAAAUUCCGUUACAAAUUCCGUUACAAAUAAGGAAAAAAAAAUUCCAGAAUUCCAGUGCCACUGGAAUUCCAGAAUUCCUGUAAAAUCAUUGCAAAUUCCUGUAAAUUCAUGCAAUUAAUAUUAAUUCCUGUAAAUUCAUUCAAUUAAUAUUAAUUCUUGUAAAUUCAUUCAAUAUUCAACAAAUAUUCAAUACAUAAACAACAUUCAACAUUCAAGAAAAGUAACAUUCAACAAAAUUAACAUUCAACAAAACUAACAUUGAAGAAAACUAACAUUCGACAAAAAUAACAUGAAAGACCUAUUUCGAUGGAGGAGUUUGAUAUCUUUGAUCGCUCUGACCUGCAUUAAUACUUCUAUCUUGCAACGAUCCACGAUCUGAAGGUUGUGGAGUUGUAUUUGAUUGAGAUAAAACUGUUUUCUUCAGGUCUUCAAACAUAUCAAACAUUUCAUCAUAUUUCCUUUUUAAAAUUUGAUUAUCCUGUAAAACAUUUAAGAUUCAUUUAUAUUUAUGUAUUCAUUUAUAUUUAUGUAUUACUUUAAAAUUUUAUUGACUUUCAUACACAUACCUCCAUUAGCUUUUCCAUUUGAUCGUUCAUUUUUUCUUUUCCUUUUUCUUUUUCUUUUUCUUUCUCGAUAGAUCUUGCAUUCAUUUCAAUUGAAAAUCUGGUAGAAGCAGUGCUUGACUCAGCAAAUGAUCCUCCACCAAGUCCAAUGUGCCUCCCUUUUUUGCUUUGAAUAAACUUAGAAAUGCAUUUUUGUUGAAUCACCUACGUGCGAAAAAUAAUAUAUAAGAAAAUAAAACAUUUGAAUAAUUUGAAAUAGUAAAAUAAUUUAAAACAUACAUCUUCAUCCGUUGUUGGGCGUAAUUCUUGAAUUUCAUCACUUUUGUAAUAUUCAGACAAGUUUCUCUAUAAAAUAAGUAAUAAGCUAUGAGUAGAUCAAUAAACUACUAUUUAUGAACAUUUGAAAAUAAACUAAGACUUACAACGACUUCGUUGUCAGUACCAGAAGAACGAAUCAAUACAUUGAUUCGUGAUGCCUCAAUGCCUUCGCUUUGCAGAUUUUCUUUUAUUGCACUGAAAGGAAUUGACCCUGUUUUAUGGUUUAGUAUUUUCUUACUCCGGUUUGUUUUGUUUAUUUUUGAUUUUCUCUGCGAAUUCAUAUAUAAUGUUAAACAACUUACAAUAUAAAAUAGUAAAUUAUUGAAGUAUGGAUGUAUAAAAAACAAUACCUUAAAUUCUUCUGUAGUCCAUAAUUCUUUCACACACUUUUCGAAAGUGAAUCGAUCAAUGUAUGGAGGAAGACUAGCAUAUAUACAUCCUUUCAGUUGAUUCAUCAACAACAAAUGGGUCAAAGUAUUUUUCCUUUAUGUAGUUUCGAUAACGCCUCCAAGUAUUGUUGAGUUUGAAUUUGAUGUAUUGAUGAGCAUUUGGGUAACUGUCUAAAUCAAAAUCAACCUAUAUAAUAAAAAUUGAAAAAUUAUUCGACUAAAAAUAAUCUAAAUCAGAAAAUAAAUAAAAACAUACCUCAAUGUACUUGAAUGCUUGUCGAAAGCUCUAAGAUAUUUGUUUCGGCCAGUUCACAUUCAAUGGAAAAAUUGUAUGCAUUUUUGCGACUCUAUUGAUCAUAGCAUUAAAUUUCUUACGCAGAUGUCCAGUUGGUUGCAUGUGUGUUGGCUCCCAUUCUAUUUUAUAUCUUUCACCUUGUUUGGGGUGAUCUUCCGGAUGAUCUAAGUUUCUACCUCUUCUGUUUGGUAGACUCAAUUCUGAAAUAAAAAAUAAUGAGUCAAUAAAUACACAUAAAUCAAUCAAUUAUAUAAUAUACACAUCGAUUAUAAUUAGUUAGUUACCAUCAUUAUCUCUGAGGUCUGAGUCGGAGUCGGAAUUAGAUUCACUCAUUUCUGUUGGUACUUGAGUAGUUGGAGUACUCGUACCUUGAGGAGUUGGAGUUGUAAUUUGAUUUGGAGUUGGAGUUGGAGUACUCGAACCUUGAGGAGUUGGAGUUGGAAUUUGAGGAGUUGAAGUACUUGGAGUCGAAGUUGCAGUCGGAACAUGAGUACUUGCAGAAGGUUCUUCAUGGUCGACAGAACUUCGUGUAAAUCAUUGUUUUUUACUAACCAAUGCUUUUUGGGUGCCAUUUAUAAUCUGUGAACACAACAAAAUAUUCAGCACUUAAAAUCAAUAAAAACAGUAAAAUAAAUAAAUUAAAAAAUUACUCACAAAUAAUAUAUAAGCAAUCCAUAAUUAGGCACUACAAAUCUCGAGGUGGCCUUUUCAAUACAACACUCCAAUCUAAUUUUUUAGGAUCAUCCACAUAAAAACAUUGUUGUGCUUGUGCUGCCAAGAUAAAUGGUUCGUCUUGGUGUUUUAAUCGUUUAGUGUUUAUAGAUAUAAUACCAAACGUAUCAACUUGUAUUCCAUUUGUAGAUUGGCCAUCAAACCAAUUACAAUGAAAGAGUGUUUCUAUAUGAUUUGGUCCAUAUUGUAGUUCAACAACAUAAUUUAAUCUUCCAUAAUAGUUUUGUCGAUUCACUAUUGGGUUUACAUCUCUAACACUUAAAUAACAUGAUGUCUCGGCCGACACUAAAAUCCCAUCAUUUUGAGUCUUUAGUUUCACCGAACUCGACGUACAAAGAAACUUAAUACCAUUCAUUCUAUAUCCUUUGAAUUUUUUCAUAUCUAUAUUUGGACCACGUGAAAGUCGCCAAAUGCUAAAUUUUACUUUAGUACAUGUAUCUAUAUGAUCUUUGAACCAUCUUGGAAAUUUUUCAUGAUGCUUUCUUUCUAUAUGUUUGGAAUUCAUUCCCGGAUAACUGCGACGAAUGACAUCCACAUGAAGUUCUCUAAAACUCGUUAUUUCAUCUGUAUUGAAUAACACAUAUCGAUGUGCCUGCUCAAAUAUCUUAUCAUCAAGAUUAGUGUGUGUAGCUUUACCAAUAUACCCAUUACAAUUACGAUCAGGUCUAUUGGAUUUUGUUUCAACAUUUUCUGACAAAUAACGAGAACAAAAUAUUAAAUAUUCUUCGGCAAUAUAUUGUUCAGCAAUACUCCCCUCAGGUUGGCUUUUAUUCCUAACAUAACCUUUUAAUGUUUUCAAGUACCUUUCAAUAGGAUACAUCCACCGAUAAUGCANNNNNNNNNNNNNNNNNNNNNNNNNNNNNNNNNNNNNNNNNNNNNNNNNNNNNNNNNNNNNNNNNNNNNNNNNNNNNNNNNNNNNNNNNNNNNNNNNNNNCUAAUGGUCUUACGAUUAUAAUAUUUGCCAUUGUGACACUUUGAACAAGGACAUGGUAGUUUUAAUCCAGGCUCCAUCUUGUGGUUUGAAUAGAUUUCAGCAAAAUCUAAAAAACUUUUCAAUCCACUUUGAAAUUUCAUCGAGGUUGAACUUUCAAACAACCAUGAUUUGUCAAGCCCUUCUAUUUGAGCAGUCAUUUUAGUUUAUCUCCUAACAUACAAAUAAAAAGAAACCUCUUAAAAAUCAAUAUUUAAAUGAAAAAUGUAUUAAAAUAAGUAUUCAAAAAUCAUUUCUCUGGAAUUUGGGUAAUUUUUGUGACUUGCACACUUCAUAGAACUAAUGAAAGGAUUAACAUCUGAAAAUCUUAAUUUCCUAAUGCCUCGUACGGCAGUCUGAUUAAAAAUGGCAUUUCAAUUACAUGGACUUAAUAAAAUUUUGUCUUAACAGUUCUCAUUUAGAUUUUGGACCCAUAGCUAGCCAAAAUUGAUGUUAAUGUGCAAAAUUGAUAGAUGACCAUCAUGUUUCUAAGGAUGUAGAGAAGAUGGAAUAAUCUAACUGCUGUCUGAAUCAUGUUAUUCAAAAUUGAUUAGACAAUCUACGCAUUGUUCAGAUAAUAGUUUAUUUUGCAGAAUAAUGGAAAUUUUUUUAACAAUCAUGAAGUUUAUUCUUACAAUAAUGAGUGAAAAAUCAGUGGAAGAGUAUUCUUUAUGCCAAAUAAGCACACAACAAAACUAUUGUAUUAUUUUCUUUUAUAAAGAUAUUAUAAUUUUGCAAUAGUCCAAAUUUAUGCUAAUGCUGUAUUAAUUAUUAAAAUUCAAAAUUCAGAACAUUUAAAAAAUGAUGACACGAACUCCAUGUAAACUGGGCAAUUCCCUUCAUUUUAAUAAUGAAAUUUUUUAUUUGCUUUCAAAAAAUAGAUGAUGGCACGGCACAAAACUCAAGUUGCACCAUUUAUAAAUACUAUUUAGUUAUAAGUUAUAACUGACAUACAAUGAUCUCAGAUGCUUCAGUUUUCCAAUUUGUGGAGGAAUUGGUCCUGUCAAUUUAUUACUGUGAAGAUCCCUGACAUACGGAAAAAAUAGAAAAAAUAAAUUAGAUAUUUACAAUCAAAUCUAUUAUCACUCAAUGAUGUGUCAAAUAAAUUUCUAAUAUUUGUGUUGAAUUUUCAAAAAUAUUUAAAUUUGAAGAUAAAGCAUGUAAUUUAAAAUUUCAACAUGGACGAUCAAACUCUUAAAGAGGCAUUUUCUGACUUUGGAGAAGUGACAGAGGGUAGGUGAAGUGAAUUUGUAUCUUUUAUAGCUCAUUUUGGUUGCACAACUUACCAAUCACACAUUGCCAAAAUCCAAUUUUCUACAACUAUUCUUCCAUCCAAGAUUGGAAUUCAUUAAUAAGAAAUCAUUUUAUUUUUAACUUCUUGCUUAAUUAUUAACAUAAAUUUGGUAACUUUACACAAGUUUAGUUCUAUAGAUCCAAUAUCCAUAUUUACAGAUCGUAUAACAUCAACUAAUAGAUAGAUAGACAGAUGGUAUGAGACAGUAAUUUACAGUUGGGCAAUAAAGGAUUUAUGAGUCAUUAAUGGAGAGAAUCAAUCCUCAAUCCCUUAAUUCCCACAACACUCCAGUUGUAAUUGCGUAUUGGGGAAAUACGCAAUUUUUUUCUUCUAAACUCUAAACUAUAUUGGGGGACAUGUACGUAUUGGGGAAAAUAGGUGAUGAUUUCUGGAUAUACUAGUUGAGAUUUUAAUUUCGGGAAAAGAAAAACCCAAAGAAUUUUGAAAUGGAAAGAAAGUGAAAUGGUAAACCUAAAUCGAUAUUGAUUAAACAUUGAAAAAAAUUCAGAACCCGGCCAAAGAUGGAUUGUGGAGUCUAACCUGAGUCGGAUGGAAGCCUAAUCGAAGACGUUGACGUUCGCCGGAUGGAAGCCUAAUCUUGCCGGACAGAACUGGAGAUGUAGCCGCAAGUUUCUCGCCGGACAGGAAUGGAUGGGAGGUAUCAACGGGAAGUUGCUCGCCGGACAGGAAUGGACAAGAAACGGUGAAGGAAGUUGCUCGCUCCUCGCCUGAGAGGUUGGAAUCGCCGGACAGGAAGUAUCGUUGGGAGUAGGUUUGGGGGUUCAGGUUGAAAUCACGAUUUGGGGUUUUAGUAGUUUAGGUUUUUUAUUUAUUUAAAAUAUUCAUUUAAACUUAGUUGAUAACCAUUUAAAAUAAAGUUAAUAUAUAAUUGAAUUUUCGAAUUUAAAAUUUAUUAAAAUUUAAAAGUUAAUAUUAGAAAUUGAUAUUUUUUAUAAUUUUUAAAAAAUCACUAGUUGUUAAUUUUUAACUUUUU